CCACAUCUCCUCCACUUCUCCCAGGGAAAAAGAAGCCACUUUGCUUAGGGGGAGGAACCCAGAAAUUCACUCUCCGUUUGUUCUUCCUUCUUCUCGGGAAAGAAAAAAACAAAGAGAGAAAGAAAGAAUCGAGAAAAACCAUCGCCAUAUUAACUGAGCAUCCAUGGCGGACAAGAACCAGAACCAAUACCACCCGGCGGAGGUGAACGGCUACCACCGGAGCGACCAGGAGUCGCUUGAGGAGAUCGAGGAGGCGAGGCGCAAGAAAAAGAUGAAGUGGACAAUCGGCAUCAUCGCCUUCAUCAUCUUCCAGGUAGUCCAAGGCCUCUUCUUUGUCUUGGUCAUCAUGAAAUUCAAGUCCCCUAAGUUCAGGGUGGCCGAUUUCACCAUCCCGACCCUGACCACCGAGGCGCAGACAUCUCCCUCGUUCAACAUGAGCUUCGUCGCUCCGAUCCGGGUCAAGAACACCAACUGGGGUCCCUUCAAGUACGAUGCUUCUACUGUUAACUUCACCUAUGGGGACGUCCAAGUGGGACAAGCGACCAUUCCCAAGGCCAAGGCCAACUUCAAGUCCACCAAGAAGAUCGAUGUGCUCGUGACCUUGAACUCCGGUGCUUUGCCUACUAGUUCGAACCUUGGGAGCGAAUUGAGCUCAGGGGUCAUAACCUUGAAUAGCCAAGGCGAGCUCAAAGGAAAGGUAACAGUCAUGUUCAUGUUCAAGAAGACCAAGAUCUCAAAAAUGAAUUGCACCAUAAAGAUCAGUACAUCAGCAAAGGAGGUCAAAUCCUUGCAUUGCAGCUGAGGCUGUUGAGACUUGAGAGGGCGGUUCUCGGUCUUGGAGCACUAGUAUGCUUUGCUUAUUAUAUGGUUCCACAUGCUACAGAAUCAUAAACAUACUCUAUUUUCCUGGGGUUUCUUCUUAGCUAAGUGAUGAUGUAUUCUAUUUUUUGUUGAUUCUACUUACCAUCCAAAUCGUUAUUUCGCAAUACCCACAUGUUCGUAUUACAAUAAGUAUCUUCAAGCAUGUUCAUUCGUUCUUAAAAUCUUGAAAUGAUGAGCAAUAAUGAAUGACACGGCACCAAAGAUAAACUGACCUGAGGGGCACCUGUAGUUGAGGGAAAUACGCAUGAUUGUGAUUUGCGUCGGUGUCGUUCUUGGAACUCUGGUUUCAAUCGAAAGCAAAGGCUAAGUCAAGUCUACCAGGGCGGGCGGAGACGGUAGUGCUCCACUCCAAAAGUCAUCAAACCUCGAAUAAACAAAGCGAUUAAUUUCUUCGAUAUAGAGCAACCGUGGAUGCACGGGAUUGAUACAUGUGAAGUCAACAUCCUACCUCAAAAUAGCCCCUUUUAGGCCUUAGGUUUUCCAGGGCAAAAAUGAAGAUCUCUAGCUAGUAAAGGAGUCUAUGCACAUGAGCUUAGCAAUCAUGGAAAACCGGAGCAUAGCCCCACUCAUAUUGAAUAUACGAGCGACAAGAGGAGCAUUAUUUAACCGAGUCGACGAAGCUAGAUACCCAGCUUCUCUUUGUGUACAAUGAAUUUUCCUUAGCCUCUACAAUACAGAUAGUCAAUUUCAGGGCCACACCGAAAAUAUGAAAAAUAAAUUUAAAAUUGUUGUUAUAUUAUUUUAUUAUUUUAUCUAUGAGUUUUAUAAUAUUUUUCUCUCCAAUAUUGGAAUUUGUGGCUUAAUUCAUCCAAUUAUUGAUUGUAAGUUCUAGAUAUCAAAGUAAAUUUACUAAUAAAAGGAAAGACACCGAAAACAUUCAUUACCACUCAAGAACUACCACUUAUAUACCUCUACAUUUGAAAAAAAAUAAAAAUUGAAAACAUACUUAGGUGUUACCUUUUGAAAUCACUUUUGCACCUUCAUAUCAAUUAUCAUCAUGUCUUUUCUUAUAUGAAAACAACAUUUCCUUUCCAAAAAAAAUUGUCCAAAUCCUAAUUUCUCACACCUGCCCAAAUCACACAAAAUCCAAUCAAAAACCAACCACCGAAACCCUAAGCAACAUACUAAAUGAGUUUGCAAGGAUGGGUAAUUUGGUCUUUUUUAUGUGGAGUUUUAUAUAAAGGUGUGUGAAUUGUAUAUUUAAUUGUCGGUUUUGAUCAAAAUAAAAUAGUUGCUCAAGAUGGAUGUGUGUUUAGAUAUAUUUUGUAAUUUUUAAAUGUUUGUAAGAGCACAACGGACCGGCCUCAAAAGCAGAAAAUUGUUCUCUACUAUGGAAGAAACUAUUCUCUAUAUUCCCUUUAGAUAUCUAUCAUAUCGAUAUGAAAUAAAAUUGUUUUCCACCAUCAUUUGUUAGCAUGCAUUACCGAAAAUAUAACAUUGUCUUCCAAGGUGUACUUAUAUAAGGAAGUACAAAAGAGAAAUGCUAUUCAUGUAAUAUUCCCAAUAAAUCUGCGCUAGUAUUAUUGACUUCCAUGAAUAUCGCAAGGACUUUCCAAAUACAAUUUCUUUCUCUAACACCGAAGCUUAUAAGACACUCUGCGGCCGAUGGAGUUUGGUUGGAGCAUCCGCGGCGGUCUUUGAAUUACUCCUUAUUGUAAUUGUGUUCUCUCCAAAUUCAAGAAAAGAUGAAUUUCAAUGCACCAAGACAUAUUUCCUUCGCUUUCUGGAUUUCAGAUCCUCCUCAUCCCAGACACUCUUGUUAGGGAACAAUCCUAUCUCUACACAUGGUGCUUAGGCAGGGGCAACACCACUACUAAUAGCAAGUUUCGGGACAACCUCAACAGCCCCCUCUACAGGUUGCUUUACGACCAAGGACCCAUCUCCGGUUUCUUUAACAUGACGAAGGUAAAGAUCCGGACAAAAUUUAUGGUCUCUUCUUCUGCGUGCCAGUGCCCUCUAGGUUCCACAAAAACGAAACGGUUUGUACCGUACAUUACAACUUAGCUGAAGAAUUCUCGCACCUCCCCUCCCAUAACUAAGAAUGGCAUACAAAAGCAGAAAGCAAGCAAUUCCUACAAGCUAACUAUGAUAUGUCGGGAUGCACCGUGCAAGCUCAUGUAGGGUCACUGAAAGUGAGACUGUAUAGGCUUUCUGAGGAGAUCGCCAGCAUUCCUUGCCAAGUCUGUCGCAUUCGUCACAAAAUUGAUCAUCUUCCUGAAAGUUUCCACCACGAUCGAGCUGUUGGGAACUAAAACAUCCGUACGGUUGACCAAGAAAAAAGCUGGCAUCGACUCCAUGAUUGAGAAGAAUGAUCUGUUAGAGUAGUGCACGAAACACUUGUCGUACCAUAUGAUCGCCUCUGUCUCCUGGACAUUUUUCUAAGACGUUGCUGGCAGCUGAAUCGAUGCAAGACUGACAGAGAUUGGCCGCCACAUCCCCUCUGAAGAAGAACAGUAAAGUUGCAUUAGUAAUCACUUAAAUCUGGACAGUAAUUUUUCGGUGGGAAUUGGAUCACCGCCCUCUGUAGAGGAUAUCAAUUAAGACCAAUAUAUCAGGUCCAUUAUAUAAAUCCUAGAACCAAGUGAGACGAUUCCAAAGAUUAUAAUGAUAGAAUCGAAAGGUAUUACUCAAAAGUUGAAACAAUGAGUAUCUUUCGCAUGUGAUUUACCUGUAGAGGAAGAAACAAUAAACAUUGUCCAGAUCUUCACCUUCCGUUGUAUUGUAGAAAUUGGAGAUGGGUCCUUGGUCUAAAGCAGCCUAUAGAGGAGGUGGUUGAGGUUGUUGAGAAACUUGCUAUCAGCAGUAGUUGCCCCUACUUGAGCACCAUGUGUAAAGAUAGAUUGUGCACUGAGACGAGUGCCUGGGAUGAAGAGGGUCAGGCAUGAAAUCCGGAAACCGAAGGAAAUUUGCCUUGGUGCAUCCAAAAUAAGCUUUUCUUGAAUUUGGAAAAAAAAAAUGCAAGUACAACAGAGAGUAAUUCAAAGACAGCCGCAGAAUUUCUUUCAACUCAUGAAAAGUAAGAUAAUAAAGCAAGCAACUUUGGUAGAAAGAAUGAGGAUGCUCCAACCAAACUCCAACGGGCACGGAUUUCCUUCUCAACUCGUUUAAUUUGCUUUGAACGGGCGCUCUUAAUUUAUUUAUGGGGUCUUGUAAGAGGUGUCAGAGAUCGUGUUUGGAAAGAUUCACGCAAUAUUAUUUGCGCAAAUUCAAUGGGAACUGUCAUGACCUACCAUCGGGGGAGGGAAUAGGUUUAGGGAUAUUGCCUAAAGGACGGACCUAAGGCCCAUGAUUAGGCACGGGUCUUCCAAGCCCAUAUCUUGCGUGACAUUGGAGUGUUCUUAAGAAUUUCGCAAAAAAGAGUCACCAUUAACUUAUUGAGGUUGGCUAGAAACCAAGCAAGACAUGAGAGUAUGCCUCGCCUCUUACGCAACCAGAGAAUUUAGGGUCAGGAACUUGAUUACACUAAUUAAUUAAUUAGAGUCCUUUCGGUACCUAAUCUUGUUCAUUUUAUAAAAUUAAAAAAAAAUGUUUUUGUCAGGCAGUUUGGAUUGAUUUUAUACAUAAUCAAUAACAUGUGAGGUGAUUAUGCGGGUACGCAAUCAUUAAAGUAAUAAUUAUAGUUACCAAUAUUCUAAUUGCAGUAAAAUUAAGCACGUGCAAUUAAACAUAAUUAAAUAUGUCAAUUAAACAUGCAAUAUAAUUAAUAUACGAGAAAAUAAAGGCCUAAUUACACUGGUGAGACAAGACAUGUCAAUUCCCAACCAAAACCUACAUUUUAUAGAUUUUCGAAAAAAAAAUAAUUUUUUUAAUUUUUUAAUUUUUUUUUUUUGGCUUCCGGGUUGGGUCCAGUUUGACCCAACUCGAGCCUGACCCGGUUGGGGGCGGGUCAGUAAAACCUGCUUGGGUUCGACUCGAUUAGGGGCGGGUCAGGUCAAACCAACUGAGUGAGUUAGGCCCGAGUAGCCUUGGUUGGGCUUGAACUAGGUUGGGAUUGGGCCUCAACUAAUGGGCCCAAUCCCUUGCAAGAAAAGCUUUCUGCAGACCCACAGCCUAGACCAACUCUGGGUUGUGGGUUGUGGAAGAGAGAGGCCAAGCGGGCCAGAAAGAUUUGGCCCAGCUUAGCCUAUAGCCUCCGAUCGCCACUGUUCAGUCGCGACCAAGGGGGAAUCGGGAUGGCGUGCAGCUCGGAGCGAUUUUCGAGAGGGAAGGAGGCGGUGGCCGGCGUCGGAUAGGCAGCUUGUUGAGGUGGCAAAGGGUCGGUCGAGGGCGGUGCUCUACCAGAAUGCGAUCUCUGCUCCGUGACUACCUGGUCGGCUGGGAAAGAGACGAAGGCGAACGGCUUGGGUGGCUUCUGGCUAGGGUGCGACAAACGCGCUUUGGCUAGACAGGGGCACAGCCCGGCUUCCAGCGGGGCGGUGGCGGCGCUUCGGCAACCGAAAAACCAGCUUGAGGUUCGAGACAACGGCUGGUUUUCGCUUGGACAUUCUAGCGAACGGGUGGUGGGUGUUCUAGGAAGCAAAGGUUUCGGGUUCAGUCGAGACUCGAGCGCGAACCUAAGAAGCUACUGAGGCGUGCCAGGACAACGGAGAGUGCAACGGGGACGAGUGGUGGGCUGGAGCUUGCUUGAAAUGGUUAGGGGAAUCCGACCAACUCGGUAACACACUAUGCACACCAGGCGUUUGGCGAAAUGCCACCUGGGUUCUGGUGAAGAUUGCGGUGGUUGGCGUCGGUCGGUAGCUCGAAAAUGUGUUGACGGCGGUAGUGGUGGCUCGGAGAUGCGUUGGCGGAAAUUCCCGUGUUCUCCCCCUUGCGUCCUCUCCUUUAAAAAAAAAAACUUUUUAAUUUUUUUUUUCAUAUGUACUUGAAAAUGCAAAUUAGGUAUCAACAGGAACAUUAUAUGAGUAACAUUCCUCUUUUAUAUUUGCUUAUAUUAGUACAUCUUGGAAGAUGGGAAACGUGUUAAAAAGUUUUAAACAUUUUGUAGUUGUGUCAAUUUAGUUAUAAAUCUUUCAUUGGUGUCAAUUUAGUCAUAGAUAUUUUGAUUUGGUACAAAUUCAGUCCUUUAAGCUAAUUUUGAUUGGAUUUUGUGACUAGGCACUGAUUGACUGACGUAGCACGAUCACCACUAAUGUAGAUAACUUUUAAUAAUUUUUUUUGAAUUUUUUAUUUUUUUUUAUUUUUUUAUUUUUUCCUCCUCCUACUCCCUCCUCCUCCAGCCAAUCGCUGAAGUGAUGGCCGGCACUGGUGAGGCUUGAGCCAUUGUCGGAUCUAAUGAGGGUCAAGUCUUGUUGGCCAUGGGUGAGGCUCGACCUCGCUAGAUUUAGCAAGGUUGAGCCUCACUCAUGGUCAGCAAGGGUGAGCCUUGCUCGCCCAACGCGAGGCUACCCUCAUGGCCUCUAGCGAGGGCUCGAGCCUUGCCAGAGGUCGGCAAGGUCGACCUCAACCUCGUCAAUCGUCUCCUUUGGCCGGUCGCCAAGGUCUGAUGAUUGGUUAGAGGAACGAGGAGGAGAAAGAAAAAAGAAAAGAGAAAAAUAAAAUAAAAAUUCAAAAAUUCAAAAAUAUUAAAAUAUUAUCCAAAGUUGUCCACAUUAGCGCCGGUCGUCCAUGUCAGCCGGCCGGCACUCAGUCAGUAAAAUCUAACUAAAAUUAACUAGAAAUGACUGAAUUGACAUCAAGUGAAAAAUAUUUAAAACUAAGUUGGUACCAAUAAAAUGAUUUUGGACUAAAUUGCUACAAAGGUAAAAAGGUUCAUGACUUUUUUUACAAUUUUUCCCCUUGUAAGACAAUAUUAUAUUCUUGAAUAAUAGUGGAAAACAAUUUUUUUUUUCAUGUUGAUGUGAUAGAUAUCUAAUAGGCAAUAUAGAGAAUAUUUUCUUUCAUAGUAGAGAACGAUUUUUUUGCCAGUCCAUUGCACUCUUACAAAUAUUUAAAAAAUUACAAAAUAUGUCAAAAUGCACAUCACUAUUGACUGACGAUUUGUUUUCGUUAUUUUUCCUUUUAUUAGUAAUUUUACUUUGAUAUCUAGAAUUUAUAAUUACCAAUAGGAUAAAUUGCCCAAAAAUCUAAUUUUGCCAAUCAGCCCAAAGACCCUUAGGCUCCAUUUGGCAACACUUUUGCUCAUUUAUUUUUAUGCUCUUUUGCUCUCUGAAAUAGAAAAAGAACAGAAAUUCGUUUAGUAACUUUUAUUUUCACGAAUAAAAAAGUAGCUGGGGAAUAGAUAUAGAAUAUAAAUAAGGAGUAGAAAAAAAUAGCUUAUUAUUUCUGGAAACAAUUUUUAGAAAUAAGUCAUUUUUUUUUUCUUUUCUUCUUCUUCCUUGUCACUUGCCGUGGCGGUGAAAGUCAAAGAAAAGAAAAAAGGAAAAACAAUUCUUAAAAAUUUAUUAAAAAAUUACAAGAAAUACUAGUUACAAAAAAAUUUGUGGAUUGUACCAAACGUAUUAUCAAUGUUUUUCUAUUCUGAGAAUAAAAUUUUUAUAUAUUUACCAAACACAUUCUUUUAAUAAAAAAUUGUUUCGGGGAAUAGAAAUAGAAAUAGAAAAAAUAUUAUUUAUGAAAAGAAAUUGUUCUAUAAAACAAAAAUGUUACCGAGCAAACUCUUGGCUCCCCGCGGCCCUGCCUAGUGCAUUUUCCAUGUCUACACUGUUGCUAAACUUGAAAGGAGUGAAACUAAGCCAAGCGACUUGCAAAUAGCUUUGCUGGAUCUCAUCUCGAUGAUUUUUUUUUUUUUUUUUUUGAGAUUGACUACUCUUGUUUUGAGCCGAGCCGGACCUAUUUGAGUAUCUUAUCAAGCUCGAUCGAUCUUGUCAAUAUUUUGCUCGUGGGCUCGUGAGCAAAAUUGUGCUUCCUUUUUUUUUUUCUUCAAAAAUAAUUUUUGUUUAGACGUAGUAUUCUUAAAGUUACAUGAUAUACCCACAUUAUUAAGGCAUUUUCAAGAUCGAGAUCGAGCUCAAAUUCCUCCAUCAAUUGAUUGUUAUCGGGUCGAGUCAUGUCCGAGUAUUUCAAGCAUCAAGCAGCGAGGCAAGUGGAGCUUGCGCGUCGCUCCCUAUUGGCAUGGCUCAGACUCAAUUAUACCCCUAAUUGAAAGUAAUUAAAUGGGGAAAAGAUUGGUAAAGGAAGCUUCUGUCGAAUAUAAUAAAACAAAAUAUCUCUUGCGUAUCGAAGAAAUUCCGCCCGCUCAGGUUCCCUCUAGAAGCCAAUAAUUUUCAAGGGGCAGCACGGGACGCGCUUUAGCAUCUUAAACAUCGCCGUCAACCAAAGUGGGCUCCUUUGACAAUACUCCAUUACAGGAUCCUGCAUACUGUAUAUAAACCUUGGCAACACUCUCUUAUUUCAUCACUCACAGCUUCUCUCGCAUCCAACUUAUUCAGAGAGAAAAGAAACUCGAAAAUCCCAAACACGAGAGGAAAAAAAAAGAGGGUUUUGUGACCAAAGUUCAGCAAUGAUGCCUGAGAAGAACGAGAACCAAUACCAGCCCCGAGAAUUGUCGAACGGCCACCAUCGUACCGAUGAGGAAUCGCUGCUGACCAUGGAGGAGGAGGAGGAGGCCAAGCGCAAGAAAAAGAUGAAGUGGACAAUCGGCAUCAUCGCCUUCAUCAUCUUCCAGGUAGUCCAAGGCCUCUUCUUUGUCUUGGUCAUCAUGAAAUUCAAGUCCCCUAAGUUCAGGGUCGCCGAUUUCACCAUCCCGACCCUGACCACCGAGACUCAGACAUCUCCCUCGUUCAACAUGAGCUUCGUCGCUCCGAUCCGGGUCAAGAACACCAACUGGGGUCCCUUCAAGUACGGCGCCUCCAACAUGACCUUCACCUAUGGAGGUGUCCAGGUGGGACAAGUGAACAUUCCCAAGGGCAAGGCCAACUUCAAGUCCACCAAGAAGAUCAAUUUGGAUGUGACUCUGAGCACUCCUGAUUUGCCCACCGGUAUUAGCUCGAAUCUUGGGAACGAACUAAGCUCACAAGUCAUAACCUUGAGCAGUCAGGGCGAGCUUAAAGGAAAGAUUACAGUCAUGUUUAUGUUCAAGAAGACGAAGAUCUCACAAAUGAAUUGCAACAUGACAAUCAAUACCUCGACAAAGGCGGUCCAAUUUUUGUCAUGUAAAUGAGAGAUGCAAGUGUGAUUCCAUGUCAAAUGGACUUAGCUUCUUUCCUUUUUUUUUUUUUUUAAAUAAUUUCGAGUGGUAUGCUUGUUUGUUCACUCGUUUUUCACAUUGCUUCGUUGAGUUUUUCUCCAUAUUAAAAACCGAUUCUACAAAUCAUGCAAUUUACCAUAUUUACGUAUAAAGGGAUUGUUUCGAAAUUUAUGAUACGGACGCAAUUAGAUUUAUCCAAAACUCACUUAAUUGCGUGUCUUGUACAUGAUAUGCAAAUGAGUCAUGUCGAAAAUUGUCCCAUCUUAAUUUGCUGGUCAACUGCUUUGACUGAAUGGAGACGUCGAGCGAUGAUGACCAUCACGAGAAUGGACCUGGAGCAAGAAUUUUCGCAAGUGGACGGGGGCAGGUGAGAAGAGUCGGUAUUUCCAUGCCCCUAGAUAAAAUGAGUCAUGCCUACGUCUAGACUAUCUUUGAAUAAAAUUAUAUUCAAACCUAAUUUGACGCCAGGUCACAAAACAUGCUUUACGGGGAAAAGCAUACCAAGUCGCAAACGUUCAGACUUUUCUCCUUGACUUUGUUUUGCUCUUCUUCUUUGUUUCCCAUAAAUAGAUUAGUAAAAUUCUCGUUUUCAAUUGAAAAUUUUAAAAAUUGCAACAUCGGUGGCCGCCCCAUCAUCAUGAGAAAGAAUGCUGCGAAAAAGCAUUUUGAUUGCACAAAAUUGUUUGUGCUUGGAGUACUUGAGUGCACAAAAUUAAAUUCGAGCAUGUUAAAGAAAUAGACAUGAACUUAUCCGGUCAAUUUAUGCCCAUCGGUGAAGAUCUUCUAUCUGGCACAAUACACUUCUUGGUACCUCCGUGAAUUUCAACCAUUUAUAAAAACCUCAAUUUAUAAGUAAAUCGUUAAAAUCUAUUAAAAUGUUGUAGGGAGUUCCUCUUAGAAUAAAAGAUCCAUGUCCUAUUCUCGAAUAGGUGAUGACAGUCUAAUCAGUUUCUUGUAACACAUGGAUUUUUAGAAUUUUUUUAUAGCUUUUUACGAAAAAGAUAUUAUACAAUUAUAUUAGGAAUUUAAUUCAUCUUCUUGAUUCCCUUCAUUUGAAUGAUGUCAAAUUAUUUCACAUUUGUUAAUUCCCAAAUCUUCUUAUGGUUGUUGUUGAUGCAUUUUCUUUUUCAUGCCCAAACUUCCAGAUUUGCCACAACAUCACAGACACGUACAAUUUCCAUCAGGCAAUUCAGUUUGUGUUUUGACAUAUUAAGGGAGAUAGGACAUAUCCCAAGUUCUAUUUCCGUUUUCGAUGCCCAUUUAAUACAUUGUUGGACAUGCAAUGUUAUGUGAGUAAUCUUAUCCCUUAAUAUUUAACCCUGAACUCCAUCAAAUCCUGUCAUCUCAUGUUCUCGUCUUCUGUUCAACCUUAUUCAUGGCAUGUUAUAAAAGAAUAAGACUUUUUAGAUUUGAUAAAUGCAAUUGUUAUUGAAAUAUACAUUAAAUUCCAUAUUUCUCUCUUCUGUUUACUUGGUAUUAGACAGUUCCUCGGAAAUCCUAAGUACACCGACUGCUUUCCCAAUUACCCUGGUGUAGACCCAAAUAAAUCCAUUUGAGCUGUGCUAGUCACAUCGCUCAGUAACUAUUUUCCCAAGCCAAUCACACUAUGUUGGCCACUUGCCAUUUCUCCUCUAAUUCUCAACUUUUUCAUAGGUCAUUUGGAGAUGCCGACACCAUCAUCAAAAGAGCUAUAGCCUAAAGUUUUGCCUUGAAUAGCCGCCAGACGCCACCUCAGGCACCGCCAGACACCACUCCAUUGCGCAUCCACCAAGCCCAUGACGUUGAAGGCAUUUCAUGGAGAGAAAAGAAGUUUUCAUGGCAUUGUCUAACUUGAUUUCUUAUUUAUACUAACUUAGUCAUGUUGUGUUUUGAGAGGAUAAUAGAAAUAAUAGAAACUUUUCUAGGAUAAUUUUUAUUUUGAUAUUUUUAUUAAUUCUCUAUAACUUUCAAGAUUGUGCGUAUAUCCCUUUGAUUGAGCAUUUAUUGAUCUAUGCUAUUUUGGAUAAAUCGUUAUCCAUGCCUAUGAGUAGGCUUAAAUUUUUCUUCUUCAACACACACGAUAAAUUUCACAAUUCUCUCAUGUCCGCUUUAUUAUUCUUAACUAUUUCAGUACUUUUAGGACAUUCACGCAUUAGCUGCUCCAAAUACAAGCAGCUCCCUCUACUUUUAGAAACCAGACCGGACAGAAUGGAUUGACAAUCGGAUACCGGCGGGUCCUCCAGUACGGUUCAUACUACCAUAACAUUAACACAUUAAAUCGGUCGAAAACAGGACCUAACCCGAUUCAACCGGUCAACCGACACCAGUGCCGGAUAAAACCAGAUGUGGACCCUUUCAUACAGUCAAAGUAAUAAGUUGCGAACCCCAGAUAUGUAUUUAAUCCAUUUAACUUGCUUUUUCCCUGGAAAAGUCGCUUGCCGAUUUUCUUAAGAGGGUGUUUUAAGAAAGUCAAACCCGCGACUUCUUAGUGAGAGGACAACAGCCUCCCAUCUCAGCCGAGCAUAACUUAUUUGACCAUGUAAUUCUGUACGGUCUCCGGUGGGGAUUUGAAAAUAUUGUUUUUAUUGGGUUGUGCCUCGAGCUUGGGCUAACACGGUGGUUGAACGCAUCCGGUCAUAAAAGAACAGGGGAGACAGUUCAUGUCACCGAAGCUUCGCAUUGACAGUUUCUCCUAUCAAGAAAGGUGGCCAGUCUCUCUUGCUUGUAUUUGAGAGAUGUUCCCACUAAAACUGGCGUCCCUCUAGAAGUGAUGAUUCGAACGUGGGACGCGUUCGGCGGCUGAGUUCGCACGUCGUUUCUCAGGAAAGUGGUCUCAUAUUUCGUCUGCGGGAAUCGUAUAUAUAAACGUUUUAGCCACCCCUCUUGGUACAAUAUUCACAGAGAAAACGAAGUGAGACAUAAAAAACAAGUUCACGAAGAGAGUAGCAGCAAUGGCAGAGAAAAACCAGAACCAAUACCACCCACCUGAAUCGAACGGCUAUCACCGGAGUGAUCAAGAAUCAGUUCCAACCAUGGAGGACGAGGAGGCCAAGCGCAAGAAGCGGAUGAAGUGGACCAUCGGCAUCAUCGCCUUCGUGAUCUUUCAGGUUGUCCAAGCUCUUUUUUUUGUGCUGGUCAUCAUGAAGUUCAAGUCCCCCAAGUUCAGGGUUGCCGAGUUCGACGUCCAGGCCCUGACUGCCGGGACUCAGGCCUCCCCGUCAUUCAACCUGAGCUUUGUCGCUCCAAUCCGGGUCAAGAACACCAACUGGGGUCCCUUCAAGUACGACGCCUCCACCGUUGAUUUCACCUAUCAAGGUGUUCAGGUGGGACAAGCAAUCAUCCCGAAGAGCAAGGCCAACUUCAAGUCCACCAAGAAGAUUAAUGUGAACGUGACUCUGAGCUCUGCUAAUCUGCCUAGCGACGUCAAUUCGACUCUCGGGAGCGAUUUGAGCUCUGGGGUCAUCAACUUGAGUAGUCAAGGCGAACUCAGAGGGAAGGUGACAGUCAUGUUCAUGUUUAAGAAGAGGAAGACCUCCCUGAUGAACUGCACAAUGGCAAUCAAUACAUCAACAAAUGCGGUCCAAUCCUUGUCAUGUCAAUGAGGGAUGCGAGAGUGUGAUUUCCCACUAGAUGGCUUGUAUGCUUGCUUAUUAUUAUUUUUUUUUCAAAAUAAAGUAUUGAUUCUGCAUUAUGGAUUUGCACACGAUGGAGAAUCUUUUAUUUGGACUUUUUGAACUGAAGUUUUCUUCAACUACAUGUGGUGCAAAGCACCAACCAAAGCCCUUAAAUGGAGAAUCUACACACAAUCACUAUACCAAGAAAGACAUUUCCUUGACAGUGAUAUUCCAUUUUAUCUCUUUAUAGAGAGUCCUUCUUCUUAUCUUAAACGAUUCAAUUUCAUCCGUCGUCCUUGACAAUCAAUAUGAUAAAUUAUUUCUCAAGUUUGAGCUCCCAUAUGAAAUCCAAUCUAAUAAAAGUCUAGCCUGUGUUUUGGAUGUCUUAUGACUUUAUCUUCAAGCAUAACUAGUGGAUCCGAUCUUAGAUUCAAAAGACAAAAGGAAAAAAAAUGAAAUUUUGCUUGAUUAUUACACAUUAGAGCAAACAAGAGGAGUUUAUGAUUUUUUCUUGAAGUUAGCUAGCUAGGUUAGUGUGCAUGAGAGAUAGUGAGAUAACACAUAUAGGUUGGCUUUGAGUAUAAUCUAAACUUGAGAAGCACUCGAACGAUUGUAACCCAAUUCUCCAUAUUCAUAAUGGAUUUUGCGGUUGAUUUUUCCAUGAAGUAGAUAUCAACACUUGAAUUGAGCCGCGUAAAUAUCUAAUCGUUGUUUUUUCUUUUUUUGUUAAUUUUUUCUUUUCUCAUUAGAUCUAAAUUGUGGGAUUUGUCAGUUUCCGCGUCAUCACAACAGUACGGUGUCUGAGGGUCAAACAAGCUCCUAACUCCAGAUUAAAACUUUGACUACUUUCUCGGGCCGACUUUCCUUUCGCGUAAUUUGCGGUGGUCACAAAGAGAAAGCAUUCUCUAAGAAGCGUGACUCAGGUAUAACAAAGACGUGCCAAAGAACAGAAUGCUACUGUCUAACAUCAACGGAACAUCAUCUAGAAUCAGUACAGUAAUUCAAUAUAUGACUUGGGCUCAGGCGUACGGCCGGACAGAUCUUGGGAGACGAUUGACGUCGUCGAAGCUUCCAUUGAGAAAAGUAAUUCAAUCUUAUUAGGGUCAACGAUCUCUCCUUGCUUAUCCAGAAAUGUUCCCACUAAGCUCGCCUUCUCCUAGAACAUAUGAUUCCGACGUUGGAAGGCGUUUGGCGGCCGAAUUCUGCGUAUCGUUUGCCUCAAAAGUGGUUCCAACUGUUUGCUAUUGAUCUUCGUUUUUCACCACAGGCAGUAAUUUUAACUUAUGCAAGACGAUAUGCAUACAUAAACUAUGUACUUCAACUAAAGCCAAGAAGAAACGUGCAUCAUUAGUCAUCCUAUCUCAAGGCAAAUUUGUCUUUUGAGCAUGGAAACUAUUGGUAGCAUGCAAUAGAAAUCCAAUACCUUCACAUGGGAAGAUUGUCAAAAGAAAUCCAACGUUUGAACUUGUCAACAUAUCCAGUUGGAUUCAGUUUUAUUCAAAAGUUUAAAUUAAUGACUUAUGGGCCUAUGUCUACUCUCCCUCAAUUCAAGAUUCCUUGUGUGUCAACAAAUCUCAAUUUGAAUCUCCACUUUAUUGUCAUCAACAAAGCUCAACUUCACCCUGUGUCUCUUUUGCUUGGCUAAAUCACGAAAACUACCCUAGGUCUCUUUCGCUAAACUGAACUGUGAAGACCGCCUGAAGUUGCAUCUCUCACGAAAUUCAUUCCUUAAAAUAUUCACAAAACACCAAUACGCAUUGAGAGUUGGGCACUAAUUAAUCAUUGAUUUUGAUUGCAUUUUGUUGAGCACGUGCAUCAGAGACUUGAUUUUUUUUUUUUGGGAGAUUGUCAAGAGAGAGUGCAAGUCCGAGCAUGUCGACAUUCUCAGUUUAAUCCACAUUUACCCAAAAUCGAAGCUAAUGAUUAUAGGCCAAUUAUAAUAUAUUAAUUGUUUUAGACAACACUAAUUGUUUGAAGUCUUUUCUAACACUAUUCACACCUUCAUCUCAAUAGAUAUGUUGCACGAUUAUUUUUCGUGGUAAUAAACCUGCCAAAGUCUAGAUCUCCAAGUGACAAAUAUCCACAACAUUUUGUUUUACAUGGAGUUGAUGACGUAAAUGUCAAAUUUAUUUUAUUAAUUUUCAUUUGAUACUCUGUCUGUCAAAGAAAUCAUUUCAUAAGUAGGGUUGAGGCAUUGACUUAUAUCCAAUUUUCAAAUUUUGUAACUGUAUCCGUUGUAUUAGUAAAUGAAAAUUUCCAUUUCUCAUAUGCUUGUGUAACUAAAACUUCACUGAGGCGUUGUUGUGAUAUUUAUGUAAAUGGCCAUGUGCACUGUUACUAUCUAAUAUUAUUGAGACCUCAUGGUAUAAAUGGAAUAUCAUCUAGGAGAAGUAAAAUAAAGCAAUAUUAUGAAGUUGGAAUUUGUAUGGUGGUAUAAAAAGUGAUGAGAAAAAUUACCAAAAAAAGUCAUAAAAGUAUUGUAAUUUUUAAGAGUCAGUCAUAUAUAUAUAUAUAUAUAUAUAUAUAUAUAUUCAAUUAAAUUCUUAAGCUUUCAUUAUUGUGCAAAUCUAGUCUAUCCAGCCAAUUUUAGCUGGACAGCGUUGACAUAGACGUUGAUAAUUAUUUUAUUUUAUUAUUUUUGAUUUUUUUAAUUAAUUUUUCCUUCUUCUUUUUUUUUCUUCACUCCUUCCUCCUUCCUCCAGCCAAUCACCAACAACGGCUAGCCAAAGGGAUGGUUAGCAAGGGACCUUGCUGACCUUGGGGAAGCUUGGCCAUGGUUGGGCAACCUCGCCCAAGCUGCCUGCUAGGUUGGAGAGGCUCAUCCUCGUUAGAGGCCACAACCUUUUGCGGCCUCUAGCAAGGGCUACCAAUGGCUAGGCGUUGCUUGCCCUUGCCAAAUUUGGGGAGGGUUGAGCCUCACCGGCCAUGGGCAAUGCUGGACCUCACCAAAGGUCAUUAGGUCAAAGGAUGCGAUCUUGCGAGGUUGAAGGCCAUGACCUCAUGCGGCCUCUAGCUUGGGUGAGCCUCACUCGCCAUGAGUAGGUUGUGACCUCCUCAUGGUUGGGCGAGGCCAAGUCUCGCCAUAUCUAGUAGGACCUUGCUCAACCAUGCUGAGGGCAGCCUCGUCAUUGCUGGAUGAGACCAACCUCAUCUACGCUUGCCUUUGGAGGAGAAUGAGGAAGAAGGAGAAAAAGAAAAGAAAAAAGAUAUUAACAAAAUAUUGUCCACGUUAGACAUCGGCCAAUAUUGGUCAAAAUUAGCCAUAGACUAUAUUUGCACAAUUAUAAAUAGUUUAAGAUUGAAUCGGUAAAAAAAAAGGUUAAUGACUUGAAAAAUUGCAAUAGAUUUAUGAUUGUUUUGGUAUUUUUCCUAAAAGUGAUGCUAGGAGCCAUUAAAUAUUUUCCAAAACUAAGAUUAAUUAAGGGAGGGAACAUAUUAGAAUACUUCAAAUAUGCGAUCGCACACUUCCUCCGUACCUAACUGGAGUCAAAUAUGUCCAGCCUUGAUCUUUAAAUAAUGUUUUUUUUUUGGUGCUGUCUGACCAUCGACGGUCUCCAAAUAAAUCAUGUCAAUUCUUUUAGCCAUAUGUUCCGCGUGUAUCAAAGGAUUCGAUAUUUAAUUUUGCCGUAAAUACCGUUGGGAUUAUGAUAUUUUGAAAGUCAAAACACACAGUGCUUUUGACUGGGCUUGCUUCUCUCCCCAUUGUGCCCAGUAGGAAAACAAAAAUGAGGAAAUUAGAAUAUGGUAAAGCACUCAGGGAGGCCAAUCAAUUCAUCUGAUCGAAGCUUCUAUGAAUAGAAUAAUGUUGUCGAACCACCAAAAAAAAGAGAAGGUCCUACUGUUUUUAAAAAGCAAUGUCUGAAAGUCAUAAUCUUAUAAGUCGCAUUCCUCUACAAAAACGUGACGAUUCCAACAUUCGGACGCGUUAGCGUCUUUGAUUAAUAGCAUUUUCCGGGAACUUGAGUCUCAUAUCCACUUGUAUGGUGUCCCAAACAUCGCGUGUAUACCUCAGCAUAAUAUCCACAUGUAUUGUGUCCCAAAUAUCGUGUAUAUACCUCAGCAUAACGAGGACUUCUCGACAUUCUCAGCCUUCUCAAUUCUCGCAUCUCCAAUUCCUGUAGAGAAACAAAAAUCUCAAAAAUCACACACCAGCGCCCCCACAAGACCAUCUAGCAAUGGCAGAGAAGAACCAGAACCAAUACCACCCACCCGAAUCGAUCGGCCAUCACCAGAACAAUCAAGAAUCGCUUCAUACAAUGGAGGAUGAGGAGGCCAAGCGCAAGAAGAGGAUGAAAUGGACGAUCGGCAUCAUCGCCUUGGUCAUCUUUCAAGUAGUCCAAGCUUCCUUUUUGUCCUGGUUAUCAUUAAGUUAAAGUCCCCCAAGUUCAGGGUCGGCGACAUUGCCAUCCAAACAUUGGACGGUUGGGACUUAGGCAUCACCUUCAUUCGGCAUAAGCUUCGUUGCCCCAAUCCCUGUCAAGAACACCAACUGGGGUCCCUUCAAGUACGACACCUCCACUGUUAACUUUUCCUAUGGAGGCGUCCAGGUGGGACGAGCGAUCAAUCCAAAAAGCAUGGCCAACUGCAAGUCCACCAAGAAGAUCAAUGUGAACGUGACUCUGAGCUCUGCUAAUUUGCCCAGCAAUAUUAAUUCGAAUCUCGGGAGUGAAUUGAGCUCAGGGGUCAUAACAUUAGAUAGUUAGGGCAAGCUUAAAAGAAAGAUCACAGUCAUAUUCAUGUUCAUGUUCAAGAAGACAAAGAUUUCACAAAUGAAUUGCACCAUGGUGAUCAAUACCUCGACAAGAGCGGUCCAGUCCUUGUCAUGUAAAUGAGGAUGCCAAGAGUUAUUCUUAAUGAUCCAUAGUUACUGAGCCCGCUUUUAUAUUUUCUUUCCAUGAAUUUUCCAUGGAUUGAAUCGAGAAAUUUAUGCAUUUCUAUCCAACUAUUUGAUGUAUUAGGAUACACGUGUGAGUAAAUUAUGUUAGAAAAGUCUAACAUUGGAGAAUUGAUGUAAUGUAGAGUAGUUAAUAUAUGUUAGUUGGCAUGUAACUCAUUGACUUAAGCUUUUGAGUAAAGAUGGGUUUAAUCAAAUAUAUUGACAUGCUUAAACUUGGGCUCUCUUUUGGCGAUUUUCCCAGACAAACGGUAUCAAAGUGGGCGUUGUAGUAUAACAAAGUAGGCCUUAAGGAUGAUGUUGGGCCAAAAGGAUAUGUGAAUUAAUAAGGAGUGGGCCUAACACUAAUGAUGUUGGGCCACAAGGAUAUGUGAAUUAAGGAGGAGUAGGCCUAACACUGAGCUUACGUGUGAGGAGAUUGUUAUGACUUAUGUGUGCGUGAGUUAUGUUGAAGAAGUUCCACGUCAGAGAAUUGAUGUGGUGUAGAGUAGUUAAUAUGUUUCAGUUGCUCAUAACUUAUUAACUUAAACUUUUGAAUGAAUGUGGAUAUUGACAGGCUCUGAUUUGGGCUCUCUCUUAGCGAUCUCCCCAAGUCCCAUAUAAGAGAUUGAUGUGGUAUAGAACAGUUAAUAUAUUCAUAACUUAUUAAACUUUUAAAUGAAUGUAGAUAUUAACAAGCUUGGAUUUGGGCUCUCUCUUGGCCAUCUCCCCAGCCAAAAUGUAUUGGAUUUCUACCGUGCGCUCUAAACAUGAUGGGGUCAUUCUAUUUGAAAAUUCUUUAAUUGUUCUGUAUGUGACAUAAUGUACCGACACUACGUGCUUUUGAUUUUCUUCUUUUUCACCACAGAGAAUACUGUUUUUAACGUGAGGACGACUGGUCCACUUUUUCUUUCUUGUGCCAUGCCAUGGUUUAGAAUUAUAGCAGGCAUCUCGGAUUGGAUCUCUUAACUAUGAAGUGGAGAGAGAGCUCCCCAAUGGACCUUGACGGUAGGUACACGGAUAAGUACUGUCUCUAUCAGCGGCUUAGCCUAAGGGUUCCUACAGGACAUACAUAGACAUAUCCCGUUGCCUAGGCUCACUAGUGAUGGUUUUUCAGAUUCCAAUUAUAGUUUUAGCCGUUGCUUGAUGUUUUUUCUAGUAGUGGAAAGUCGAUUAGUUUUUCAGCUUCUCGGGACAGUCUUACGCCUGAGAUUUUUUUUAGUAGUGGAAGGUCAAUUAGUACAGAAUUGGAACCGUCACAUUUUCUAUUACAUGGAUACGGUAGUAUUCACAAAUGAACUUAUAGUGAAUUCUGCUUGGUUGAACUAUGAGAUUAAUUCAUAUCACUAAAUCAAAAUUUGUUUCUAAGUUUGUGUUUAUAGCAGAUGUUUUGCCAAAAAAGUGUUGGAAAAAUUUCUAUUGAAAUAUGGAUGAAUAGAUCUAAACUGGCAAAGGUUUGGACAGAAAACGUAAACGAAGGGAGAAUUAAAGAUAAUAAGAUUAGGAACAAUUGCUGCUAGUCAUAUAAAAGGACGCUUAAAAUGUAAAGAUAAGUUGGAAGUAAAAAUAAACAACUGGGUAUUCUUUGAUUGAUCAAUGGUGUCUUCUACAAACUAAAAUUUAAGUAUCUAUACCUACCAUUGACACCUAACAACAAUUAUCAAGAAAUCAAACACAUUCUAUGGGACUCCUCCAAUUAAGCAAUUCCAAUCUACAAGCGGUUACUUAGAGAUAUUCAACUCUACUACUCAAUGAUAUGUCUUCUUCACAUCUUCACGGUUGCCACCAUCAGUCUUCGAGAGAUCAUAGCCCUUCAGUCGCUCGAGUUGAUCUUCAUCUAUUGACGUUUUGCUUUAAGACAUGCCCAUUUUCAUCCGUAUAUUUUCGUCCAUAUCUUGUGUCGGCUAAAACUGCAUUCUUUUGUAGACCUCUAUGUGUCUUAUUACUCAGCAUUUGCUAGCCGAGUUGUUGAUCGGAGAUUUGGACUUUUCUUGGUGCGAACAACGAAAAACUCUAAUACAUGCGAACACAAUAUUUUUGCGCAAAAAGUGUCCUUGAUAUGGUUUCUUCACACAAUUCACUCUAUGUCACAUCUAUUUUUACAAUAUCUUGAAUUUAUUAAAAGUAAGAAAAAUAACGAAGCUGUGAUGGUUUAAACUUUUUCUCUUUAAGCGGCCUUUCCUUUUUUACUGACAACCUGCCAAGUCUACCAAGGUGGGCGGGAGACUCGAUCCUCUAGCUUUGAGUCAACCGAUGAGUCAUCAAGUUUGGCGAAUAUUCUAAGCUGGCACGUCGACAUUCUCGAGGCAUUAUUUGGGCUUUGAGGUGGUGAUUGUGCUUAUGGUCAAACAAUCCGUUCGGAAAAGAAAUAUUUGAUUAUCAAUCUCCUUCAAGAUUAUCAAUUCAAGGCCGGAAGAUUCCUGCUUUUUAAGGGUACAAAAGGGUAAAGUAAAUGACCUGAAUCAAUGCUCGAGUACUAGACAUUACGGCGUGAAUUUACUCAAUCUUUUGUGUAAUCUGGCGAUGUUUUCCACUUGUUUAAGUAGGCAGUCAUCUGCAAUGUUACUAUCUAAUAUUAAGGAGACCUCAUGAUAUAAAUGAAAACCAUCUAGCAGAAGUACAAUAAAUUAACAUUGUGAAAUUGGACUGUGUAUGGUAAUAUGAAUAAUAAUGAUAGGAUAUUGAGUUAUAAAGCUUGUCCAAAACUAAGAUUAAUAAAGGUAGGGAACACCGAGGAAUACUAUAUAUAAAGCAAUCGUGCGACUCCGCCAUACCUAACUGCAGUCAAACAUGUCCAGCCCCGAUCUCAAAUUAAGGCUUUUUUUUUUUUUUUUGUGGUUUUAUAGCGAUGAGGUAUCUUUAGUCAACCUUGACAUAUCACAGGCGUGCUCAGGCAAAAUGGGCUAGAAGAACAAUUAGGGCAGAGAUAAAAAAAAGGGGGGGGGGGGGGGGGGAGAGUAAAAAAAAAAAGUUUUAAACCCAUUACAUUUUCACCAAUUCAAUCUCAAUUUUUUUUAAUUAUAUCAAUUUAAUCAUAAACAUUUUGAUGAUUUGCUAAUAUAAUCCAAUCAAUCAAUUUUAGCCGAAAAUUACCAAUACCAAAUGUUUUACAAGAUACGAUCAGCAAUUAACAUGGACAAAAUUUACAAAUUUUCAACAUUUUGUUCUGGUUUUUAAUUAUUUUUUUUUCUUUUCUUUUUCAUUGUGGUUGGCGAGAGUGGGCAAGGGUCUGCAAACCACAACCCUCACCAAAUCUGGCAAGGAUGAGAGAUUUCAUGACUUGGGUGAAGGCAGCCGUCACCACAACUGGCGAUGGUGCUGGGCUCAUAGGCCCUCACUUGGUGGUCGAUGAGGGUCAUAAACCACAAUAAAAAACAAAAAAAGAAAAAAAAUUUAAAAAUUUAAAAAUAUUAAAUUUUAUAAAUUUUAUCAACGUCAAUGGUGAUUAUACUAUGUAGGAUGAUUAGCGUCCAUGUUGGCAAUUUCCUACUAAAAUUAGUGGGAUGGAUUACAUUAGUAAAUCAUCAAAAUGUUUAGAUUUCAAAUGGUAUAACUAAAAAGUUUAAAACUAAAUUGAUAAAAGUAUAAUAAAUUUAUGAUUUUUUUUUUGUACUUUCCCCUUAAAAAAAGGAUAUUUAGUUCUAGGAUAAUUUCUCAAUUAAACUUAAGAUCACAAGAAGAUGUGCAAACUCUCUUGAAACCAAAUUUACAGCAUCAUUUUAUUUCAAGCUAUCUUAUCAUCGACAGUUUCCAAAUAAAUCAUCUCAAUUUUUUUUUGCAGUAUAUCCCCUAUAUUCGUAACGUAUCUCUAUAUAAUUAUGGGAUAGCAUCGUGGGGAUAAGGAUAAUUUCGAAGUCAAAAGACACAUGCUCUGGCCUGCGCUUUGCUUCUGUCCCCAUUGAGCCUUAAGCUUUGGUUUUGCACCCAGUUCAAAAAAACCCAAGAAAAAUGAAUAUACGAUUAUAGGUCUAAUAAUGAAUUCCUUCUUUAUUGAAAAGCAAUAUCUGAAGGUCAUUCUCAUACAAAGUCGCAUUCCUCUAGAAGAGUAUGACCAUUCCAACGUUCGGACGCGUUGGCGUCUAAAAUUAAUUGCAGUAUCCUGGAAAUUGCGUCUCGUAUCCGCUUGGGUUUGGUCCCAACAUCGUAUAUAUAACUCAGCAUAACUAGGACAUCUCAACAUUCUCAGUCUUCUCUGUUUUCACAUCUCAAAUCCCUUUAACAAAGCAAAAACCCAAAAACCCAAAAUCACAAACAAGCUCCCCUACAAAACCAUCUAGCAAUGGCAGAGAAGAACCAGAACCAAUACUACCCACCCGAAUCGAACGGCUAUCACCGGAACGAUCAAGAAUCGCUUCAUGCCAUGGAGGAUGACGAGGCCAAGCGCAAGAAGAGGAUGAAGUGGACGAUCGGCAUCAUCGCCUUCGUCAUCUUUCAGGUAGUCCAAGCUCUCUUCUUCGUCUUGGUCAUCAUGAAGUUCAAGUCCCCCAAGUUUAGGGUUGGCGACUUCGCUGUCCAGACCCUAACCGUUGGGACACAAGCCUCACCUUCGUUCAACAUGAACUUCGUUGCCCCAGUCCGAGUCAAAAAUACCAAUUGGGGUCCCUUCAAGUACGAUGCCUCCACCAUUAACUUCACCUAUGGAGGUGUCCUAGUGGGAGAAGCGGUCAUUCCAAAAGGCAAGGCCAACUUCAAGUCCACCAAGAAGAUUGACGUGAAUGUGGCACUGAUCUCUACUGGUUUGCCUAGCAAUAUUAACUUAAAUCUGGGGAGCGAACUAAGCUCAAGUGUCAUAACCCUAAACAGUCAGGGUGAGCUUAAAGGAAAGAUUACAGUUAUGUUCAUGUUCAAGAAGACGAAGAUCUCGCAAAUGAAUUGCACCAUGACAAUCAAUACCUCGACAAAGGUGGUUCAAUCCUUGACGUGUAAAUGAGGAUACUGUGUGUGAUUCUCGGUGAUUCAUACUUUGUGGGCCUGCUCACAUAUUCUCUUUCCACGAAUUUUUCAUGGAAUAAAUAGAGAAAUUUAUGUGUUUCUACCUUAUAGUUGAUUAGGUCAUUCGUUUGUUAAUUCUUUAUUUGUUGUGUAUACAUGUCACAUACUGUACCAGCACCAUGUGCAUUGGAUUUCUCUUAUUUUUCCCCUCAUAGAGAAUAACUAUUUUCAUCACGGGACAACUGGGCCACUGUAUUUCUUUCAUUUGCCUUGCAAUGGUUUGGAAUUGGCGCAGCCAUCUAGGAUUGGAUAUCUUAACUAUGAAGUGGACGGAGAUCUCCACAUGUUGCGUACUUGGGUCCCCUAGGGACGAACUGACGGUCCUUGAUGGAUGAGAUUAGGCCGUGGCUCAUCAAGAAAUAUGUAAAUCGAAUUUUCAACUUUCACACUGUACAAUAUGAUAGUAUCCACAAAGAACUUGUCCAAGAAUUCUGCUCGAUUGAACCAUGAGAUUGGUUCAUAACACUCGAAUCAAAUAUAUAUUUGUACGUUUGUAUUCAUAGCAGAAAACUUUAAAAAGUGCAAAAAGUGGUCUAUAGUUUGUUCAUGCAAGACACUCAAUGUGACAUCAAAUUUUAUAAUUCUUGCAUUAUUAAUUAAAAGUUGGAAAAAUCCUAAUAUAUCCGUCAGCAACCCUUUCUCCAAAAAAGAAAAGCCCUCCCUCAAAGAAAUUUCACUUGCAGGUGCUUACCUUCAAUUUCUGAAGCUGAUACUCUAGUUCGCUUUUUUAGGCCUUGAUUUGGCCUCUCCAAUCUACUAUGGGAGUUUGUUUUCGCCUUGCUUAUGCGUCUUCUUUUGCUCUUUGUUAUUGCUUUUCGUUGCUUGUCAUGGUAAAUAAAUCUUCUUGCAGCUGAAAAUUUUGUGAGAAUGUUGUCACUAGUCCAAAUAGCAAAUGCUCGGGAUGCAAUUUUACACUUCACUGAGAUUCGGUGGAAACUCUGUUCUCCCAAUUUGGGUGUAUAUCUAAGUUUGAGAGCUUUUUCCUCUUGAUCUAAAUUUGGAUAUGAGAGCUUCUUGGAGGUGUUCAAUUCAUGGUGUUAAGGACGUGCAAGCCAUAAAUUUUGGAGAGGAAAAUUUCAGUGUCUGCUCAUUACUAACGUCUUGGUGAUUGAUUGUUGAUUAUUUUUUGAUGGUGUAACAAAUCUGGUAUUUUAGAAUGAGAGUAUGUUUUAUAGUUGCAAGUUGUAAUCUUUUAUUUUUUGGGUUUUGUUUUGUUUUGUAGCUUUUAUGGAAUUUGUUUUAUUUGAAAGCUUUUUUCUUUUCUUUUUUAAAAUAUAUUCCUCCCUGAUAACCUGCCAAGUCUGCCAAGGCGGGCGGAAGGCUUAAUCGUGCUCUCCAGAUUAGCUUUGAGGCAACUGAUGAGUCAUCAACUUUAUGCAUUAUUUGGGGGGAUUUACAAAGAGGAGAGCAUGCCAAACCUGUAUCAAAGAGCCAGCAGAAAAUCCAGAGUAUUAUGUUUUUACAACAUGGAAUACAAAUACGGCAUUAUCUAUCUUAUUCUCUGUGUCAUACUUUCAGGGGGUAUAUUUACCUCCUCAGAAAACAAAACAUCGGCAUAACACUUUGGACAGUCAAAGUUGAAUGAUUCUCCACUUCCUUUCUUUGCCUUUUAUUUUCAUUCUUUUUUACCCUCUUCUGGUCUUCCCAAUAUGCACUUCUUCCUUCAACAAUUUAACACUGCGCACGCCGCACAGAUUGCGGGCCAGCCACUAUUGAUCAGGGUCGCAAAAGGUGUCGCAAACUUUACCUCGACCCAAUUAGGGACUCUCCCUUUAUUCGUAGAUAGAGGGGGUAGAGAUUAGAGAUAGUUGAGUCGAGGGGAUGAGAUGGGCAAAUACCCUGAGGACGCGACCGCUGUGAGUACCGAGCGGCUACCCAGAGGUGUAGCAUAGCGUUUGCAGCCUUGGUAGUGGCAAAAGGAUAUGUCAGUCGAAGCACAAGAUAGUAGUUUUUACGUUUACUACUAUUCACGAUUUUAUGGGUUAGUCAUAUUUAUGAGAUUAUUUGUUUGUUGUAAUUGCGGUUGCAAAUAAAAUAUAUAUCAAUCAUUUUUUAGGUGCUAUAACCCUCAAUUCUUCAAAAUCUACUAAGAUUUAUCUAAACAUAAGAUGUUCAAGGUCGACAAGUGACGUGGACAUAGGUUAAGAUUUAAAAGUUUCAAUUCUAAAAAUAUAAGUUUUAGAUGUAUAAAGGUGACAUGCAUGAGAGGUCGUGAUAAAUCAAUAGACAAGCCUGGCACGCUCGUGAUACUUCAAAAGUCAAAACAAUCACAGCUUUUGAGACGUAGGAGAGACACUCCUCCACUCGUGUUGCUGAGACAUUCCCACGGAAACUCGCGUUCCUCUAGAAGUGAAAAUUUCGACAACGCGUUUGAGGUGUGGAGUCAAAUCACAUUAAUUUCCAGGAAAGUGGCUCUCUUUGUCCAUUGGGUGCUUCCUUGGACAAACCCUCUCUCCCAACCCUGUACACAAACCUGACCAACGCACCUCUCGUCCCCAUUCCGACUACAUUCUCACUUAUCCAAUUCCUUCACAGAAACACUUGAUUCAUUCCUGGUUUAGCAGAAUACUACCAUACCGCGGAGAAGAGCCAGAACCAAUACCGACCACCUGAAUCCAUAGUGUCACAGAAAGUGAUCAAUCGAAUAAGAGAAUAGAUAGAAUAAGAAAAUAUUUGGACAAUGAAUUUAUAUAUUUCGAUAGGAUUGAUCUACAUUCCCGAAAAGAGCAGCAUAAAAUUCUACUAUAGAUUAAGUGAUACAACGGAAAUUACAACUACAUUUAAGUCAUUCAAACACUUUCAGUAUUUUCUGGCCUCCAAUAUACUCAAUAACUUACAUAACGUUUAAUUGCAUAAUUCCUUAUGAAAUAAUCCUUCACCCUUAAAGGAAUCUUAUUUGGAUUAAGAAAGUUAUUUUUUUGGGGCUCGAGUUCGAGAUAUAUUUUCAAUAGAAUGGCUCUCACCUGAGGUUUCAAGAAUUGCUUCAUGCCAUUGAGGACGAGGAGGCAAAGCGAAAGAAGAGAAUGAAGUGGACAAUUGGCAUAAUCUUUUUCGUCAUCUUUCGGGUUGUCCAAGCUCUCUUCUUUGUGCCAGUCAUCAUGAAGUUUAGGUCCCCUAAGUUGAGGGUCGCUGAGUUCAGCGUCCAAAGCCCAACUAUUGGGACUCAGGCCUUGCCCUCAUUCGAUGUGCUUUGUCGCUCCAGUCAGAAUCAAGAACACCAAUUGGGCCAUCUUCAAGUAAAUGCUUCUACUGUGAACUUUACCUAUGAGGGUGUCCAAGUGAGACAAGCGAUCGUUUCGAAGAGCAAGGCCCACUUCAAGAGCACCAAGAAGAUCAAUGUGAACGUGACUUUGGGCCCUGCUAAUUUGCCUACUUAUUCGAAUUUCGGGAGCAAUUUGUGCUCUGGGUCGUAAACUUGAACAAUCAAAGUGAGUUCAGAGGAAAUGUGAUAGCCAUGUUUAUGUUAUAGAGAUAGACCUACCAGAUGAAUUUCACCAUGGCCAUCAACACAGCAAUAAAGACAGUCCAAUUCUCACUGUGCAGAUGAGAAUUAGGACGGUGAUUCUCCAUUAGAUGGUUCCACAAGCUUUGCACGAAUUAUUUGAAAUUAUGUAUGAGAACAUUUUCUGUUGGUUUUUCGUGGAUCAUUGUUGUGCAGUAGUUUGAUCAUUUAAUAUGUUUUGUGCAUUGCGAUUCAAUUUGUAGAUGGAAAGAUUGUGUGGUAAAUUUAUAAAUCUAGAGGAAGAAACUGACAACUAGGUCUAGGGCCCAGCCUCAGUGUUAUUGUGCGCGGCGUCCCAUGCUUUGUUGUCCCAAGCCUGACCUCGAUGGACCUUUGCGCGAUGACUAGCAUCUUGGGCCCAACUUAUAUGGACCAAGGUAAGAGUGCUAAGGGCUUGGGCUCAGGCAUAAAAGUCCUUAGCCUAACCUCAAUGGGCCAAAGCUUGGGUGCCGAGGACUUGAGCCUUGGGCACCGAGGUCCCAAGCACAGGUACUAGAGUUCCAAGCUUGGGUAGAGGUGCUUUGGGCCUUGCCUAGAUAGACUCAGGCUUGCCCUUGAUAAACUCCAAUAGACCUAGCCUUGACCUCUAGUCUCGGUUCUAGUGCUAAGGGCCCAGGAACGAGCAUUUGAGGCUCCUGUGCUCAAGCGCAGAGUUUAUGACCCAAGCAUUAAUAAUUUAUCAUGUUUUAGAAAAUGAUUUCCAAUUUUUUAAAAAGGAAUUCAUUUUUUCUGAAUUUUAGUAGUAAUUUUCUAUUGAAUAGGAAAUCUUUUCAAUUAACUUAUUUUUAUAAGCAAUCUAAAAGCCAGAAAAAAAAAAUCGCGAAACAAAGGAAGCCUAAAAUCUCAAAAUAUCGAUCUGUCCAUUUACUUCCUAUGGGCUUGAACCUGAUAGACUACAUGCGUGCUCAGGCUAAAUUGGCUGGAAGGCCAAUUUGGGCAGGGCUAAAAAAAGAUUUUCAGUUAUCGAGUAAAUUUUAUACUUGAAUUGAAGAUCGCAAGAAUAUACGCAAACCAUUUUGAUGGUUAAGCCAACACCUUAUUGGUUUAUACGUUUCAUUUUAUUUCACGCGAUCUGAUCAUUGAUGAUCUCUAAAUAAUUUAUGUCAUUCCUUCAUGUACCACAUGAGUUGACGUUUAGAGUGCAUCUGGCCCCAUCGUGCCUUAAACCUCUGGUUUGGCACCCACUUGGAAAAUAUAAUACGUUAAAAGCACUCAGGGAGGCCAAUCAAUUCAUGUGAUCGAAGCUUCUAUGGAUAGAAUAAUAUUGCCCAACAACAAAAAGGUGUCCCACUUUUUUGAAAAAGCAAUGUCCGAAGGUCAUACCCUAACGAAGUCGCAAUCCUCUAGAAAUACAUGACGAUUGCAACGUUCCGACGCGUUGGCGUCUCAAAUUAGUAGCAGUUUCCCGGAAAUUGAGUCUCCAAUCAACUCGUCUUGUGUCCCAAAAGUCGUAUAUAUACCUUAGCAUAACUAGGACUUCUCAACAUUCUCAGCCUUCUCAAUUCUCGCAUCUCCAGUUUCUUCAGGGAAGCAUAAACUCAACAAUCACAAAUCAGCUCCCCGCAAGACCAUCUAGCAAUGGCAGAGAAGAAUCAGAACCAAUACCACCCUCCUGAAUCGAAUGGCUAUCACCGGAACGAUCAAGAAUCGCUUCAUGCCAUGGAGGAUGAGGAGGCCAAGCGCAAGAAGAGGAUGAAGUGGACGAUUGGCAUCAUCGCCUUCGUCAUCUUUCAGGUAGUCCAAGCUCUCUUCUUCGUUCUGGUCAUCAUGAAGUUCAAGUCCCCAAAGUUCAGGAUCGGCGAGCUUGCCGUCCAAACUCUGACCGUCGGGACUCAAGCCUCGCCUUCGUUCAACAUGAGCUUCGUUGCCCCGAUCAGAGUCAAGAACACCAACUGGGGUCCUUUCAAGUACGACGCCUCCACUGUUUACUUCACUUAUGGUGGUGUCCAGGUGGGAGAAGCAAUCAUCCCCAAGAGUAAGGCCAACUUCAAGUCCACCAAGAAGAUUGACGUGAGCGUGACUCUGAGCUCUUCUAAUUUGCCCAGCAACAUCAAUUCGAAUCUCGGGAGCGAACUGAGUUCUGAGAUCAUAACUUUGACCAGUCAAGGAGAACUUAAAGGAAAGAUUACAGUCAUGUUCAUGUUUAAGAAGAAAAAAACCUCGCAAAUGAAUUGCACCAUGGAAAUCAAUACCACAUCAAAGGCGGUCCAAUCCUUAUUGUGUAAAUGAGGAUGCUAAUUGUGAUUCUCGGCAAUCCAUAGUUUGUAAGCCCGCAUAUACGUAUUCUUUCCACGAGUUAUUCAUGGAUUAUAAAGUGAAAUUUAUGUAUUUCUAUCUUAUUCUUGAUUGGGAGAUUCAUUUGUAAAUUCUUUAUUUAUUCUGGAUACAUGUCACGUUAAAUACCGCCCCCACGCACUUCGGAUUUUCCCUUUCUUCUUUCCCCGUAGAGAAUACUGUUUUCAUCCUUCGGCCAAAAAAAAAACUAUCACGAGUAUGACUGGUCCACUGCAUUUCUUCCAUCUGGAUUCCCAUGGUUUAGAAUUAGUGCAGACAUCUUGAAUUGGAUCUUUUAACUAUGAAGUGCACAGAGAGUUCCACAUAUUCUGUUCUUCGGACCCCUAGGAACUGUUAAAAGACAGAGGAGAUGCAGAUUUGCAGAUAUGCACAAGAGCAGCGUUAAAAAACAGAGGAGAACAGAGGAGAUUUUGUUAUGCACAAAAACAGAGGAACCGUCUGCAAAACCACGCACAUAAAAAAAAAACUGACGCCAUAACCUUUAUAUAGGUUUUACAAAAACAAAUAACCACCACAUCCCACUAACUUCACACGUACAGCAACCAAUCCACAUAAUAGAAGUGCUUAAUAGACUAUUAACACAUAAAAAACAAAACAGAAACAUUGACUCGUUCAACAGGAACAAAUUGACCAUCCUUGACUAUGGGCUUUGGCCGUGGUUCGCUUCCCAUGCCUCAUGGCUCGACCGCCGGGUGCGAUUAUGCGUACCGUCCCCAUCAGCGUCUACGCAUAAAGCUGACUAGUGGCCACACGUCCUGUCGCUGCUGAUGCUCACUAGCUUGUAGUGAUAAUCUUAGGCGUCGCUUGAAAAUCUUUUUAGUAGUGAAAGGUCAAUUACUAUAACAAUUCUGCUCGUUAAGCCGUAAAAUCAGUUCAUAGCACUCGAGCCAAAACUUAUUUCUACGUUUGUAUCUACAGGGGAGAACUUUAAUGCAUCCUAAAACAAUCAUCUCGCAAUUUUCCUUGCACAAAAAGUGUUCUUAUACAGUUUGUUCACACAAGGCACUCUAUGGAACUGUUGUGGUUUAAGCUUUUUCUCUUUUAGCGGCCUCUUCUCUGUCCUGAUUUCCUGCCAAGUGUGCCAAGGUGGGCCGAGGACAUAAUCCUGUUUUUCAGAUUAGCAUUGAGUCAAUGGAUUAGUCAUCGAGUGUCAACGUUCUCAGGGCAUUAUUUGGGAGAUUUACCAAGAAGGGAAUGGAGAAAAUAUUCAUCGUUUGCAUAGCGCCAUUACGGUGACUGAUGUGGUAGGCAAUUUUUUGCUUACGCCCACUCAUAAGUUGAUGAUUGUCAAAAAGAAAAAAUUGCCCCUGUUCAGCCACAGAAGUCCUAUCCUUCGUUGCAGUUGCAGCACCUCCCCUUGCUGUCGCCAUUGGCAGAUUCUCGGCGGACAUCUGUAAUCGCUUUUGAGAAGUGUAUGGUGUCGUAAUAGUGCUUUGGAUUUGAUUGCGUGAUCUACUAGCUUUGGAUAGAAGCGGUACUAGCUACGUUGUAACCUCUCAAAUUUAAUAGUGAAAUCGUGCUUGUUCGUGCUUGUUAUGGUCUGUUUGCUUAUCAUUAUAUUUCCGGAAAUAAUUUCUAUUCAAAAAUAAUGUUGAUUUUGCUCCUCAUAUGAGUUUAUAAACAUUCAAACGUGUUUGAUAAUUGCACAAAAUUUUUAUUUCCAAAAUAAAAAAACAUUAAUACGUUUGGUACGACCCUUAAAAUAUUUUUUGUGAUUAUGAAUUCCCUUUAAUUUUUUAAAUAAUUUUCUGAGUUUUUAUCUUUCUUUUUUCCUUCUCUUCUUCUUAUUCCUUUAGUCAUUCACUAGGUCUCGGCAAUGGCUAGUUGCUGGCCAUCACUGAGCUAGGUGAAUGGCUAGAGGAGGAAAAAAUAAAAAUAAAUAAAUAGCUUAAUUCUAGAAUUGUUCCUAAGAACAGAGAAGUAACUUUUUUUCUACUUCUUGAUUCCGCUCAACCAAAUCGAUUUUUGUUCUUUUUUUGUUCCCAGAAAAUAAAGAACAAAAAUAGUCAAGAAUUGUCCAGUUACCAAACAAACCCUUAGUUUAUGAUAAUGAACGUAAGCUUGGUAUAAGCUUAAUCGCUAUCAUUUAAUUUCAUAGUUGUUUGAUAGAAUCAUAUUUUACUUGAUAUUCACAACUUAAUAUAUUAUAUAUCAAAUAGUUCUUGUGUAAAUCAAACUCAAUUUUAACAAUUCCGUAGAAUAUAUCAAGUUUUGAUUAUCGGCCUAUUCACCCCAUCUAGGUUGCAUAUUUAGCUAUAACAAUUGAUAUUAAGGCAAGUUGCUCAUAUAUUUUGAAGUAUUCAAUUUCAAGAGUACAAACAUUUUUCAUGGCUAGUCAUAUUGGCGUAGGAGUUUGUGAAGGACAAUCAAAUACGAGACCUCUUUUAUCUUGAUGGAAAUAACUAUAGCUGCUAGAAGUGCAAGAUGAAAGCAUAUAUUAGAUCAGCAAAUCCAACAAUGUGAGACGUUGUUCCGAAUGGUGUAAUUUAUUUAUUUCGCCAUAAUUCAUAAUUGGAUCUCCAAUUAAACCGUGUUAAAUUUAUUUCGCCAUAUUUUAAACAACUGGCCGCAGCAUCGUGGAAAUGAUGAUAUCUUUUGGAAGUCAAAAGACAUAUGCUCCGAAACUAGGUUUGCUUCUGUCCCCAUGGUGCCUUAAGCUUUGGUUUAGCCCCCAGUUGAAGAAAGAAAAUAAUAAAGAAGAGGAAAGUAGAAUACGGUAGAGCACUCAGGAAGGCAAUUCGGUACGUGUCAUCGAAGCUUCUAUUGGUAGAAUAGUAUGUCCAACCAAAGAAAGGCGUUCUUCUUGAAUUAAAAAAGCAAUGUCCGAAUAUCAUACUAACACUAAGUCGCAUUCCUCUAGAAAAACAUGUGAUUGCUGACGUUCGGACGCGUUGGCGUCUCAAACUAAUAGCAUUUUCCUGGAAUUCGAGUCUCAUGUCCAUAUUUGUUGGGUCCCAAACAUUGGAUAUAAAGCAGAGCAUACUUAGGACUUAUCAACAUUCACAGCCUUCUCAGUUCUCGCAUCUCCAAUUCCUCCAUAGAAGAAAGGAACUCAAGAAUCACAAACAAGCUCCCCACAAGACCGUCCAGCAAUGGCAGAGAAGAACCAGAACCAAUACCAACCACCCGAAUCCAAUGGCUAUCACAGGAACGAUCAAGAAUCACUUCAUACCAUGGAGGAUGAGGAGGCCAAGCGCAAGAAGAGAAUGAAAUGGACUAUCGGCAUCAUCGCCUUCAUUAUCUUUCAGGUAGUCCAAGCUCUCUUCUUCGUCCUGGUUAUCAUGAAGUUCAAGUCCCCCAAUUUUAGGGUUAGUGAGUUCAAUGUCCAAACCUUCAAUGUUGGGACUCAAGCCUCACCUUCGUUUGACAUGAGCUUCGUUGCCCCGAUCCGAGUCAAGAACACCAAUUGGGGUCCCUUCAAGUAUGAUGCUUCUACUAUUAGCUUCACCUAUGGAGGCGUCCAGGUGGGACAAACGAUCAUUCCCAAGAACAAGGCCAACUUCAAAUCCACUAAGAAGAUCGACGUGAACGUGACUCUGAGCUCCGCUAAUUUGCCCACUAAUAUUAAUUCGAAUCUUGGGAGCGAAUUGAGCUCUGGAGUCAUUAUGUUGACUAGCCUAGGCGAGCUUAAAGGAAAGAUUACAGUCAUGUUCAUGUUCAAGAAAAAGAAGACGUCACAAAUGAAUUGCACCAUGGCCAUCAAUACCACAACGAAGGCGGUCCAAUCCUUGUUGUGUAAAUGAGGAUGUUGAGUGUAAUUUUCAGUGAUCUAUAAUUUGUGAGCUCGCUUGUUAUUUUCUUUCCACCAGUUUUCCGCAGCUCAAAUAGAGAAAUUUAUAUAUUUCUAUCUUUUUAUUGAUGGGGUCAUUCAUUUGUAAAUUCUUCGUUUGUUCUGUAUUCAUGUCAUUAUAUACCCACGUUAUGUGCUUUUUUAUUCUUUUUCCUUACACAGACUAGUGUUUUCAUUAUGAGGAUGACUCGUGUUCGACAAAAGAAAAUCAUGAGCAUGACUGGUGCACUGUAUUUCUUUCAUUUGGCUUGCCAUGGUGUAGAAUUAGUGCAGACAUCUUGGCUUGGAUCUCCUAACUACGAAGCGGACAGAGAGCUCCACUUGUUGUUGACUUGGGACUCCUAGGGACGAACCGACAGUCCGUGAAGAUGGGCUUUGACCGAGGUUCAUUGUCCGCAUCACCGGCUUGCCGAAGGGUGACCACUAGCCACGUAUAAGUCCCGUCGUAGAACCCCAGAGGCAAUCAUUUUUCAGCUUCUACGAACAAUCCUAGCCGUCGCUAGAACAUUUUUUAGUAGUGGAAGGUCGAUUAGUAUUAAAAAAAAUUAAAAUUGGAACCGUCAUGUGUUACAAGGAAAAAUUGUUCAAAAAGUUCUAAACUUAUUAUAUUUUAGCCAAUUCAGUCAUAAAUCUUUUUAAUUUGCAAAUUAAGUUCUUAAUCCAUUGUGAGAUUAAUAGCCAAUUUGGGCUUAAAAAAAUAAAUAACAAAUAAUCAAAAAUUAUUGUGGGGCCUAGUCUUUCUAGAAUUUGUAGCUCAAAACGUGUGGUUAAUCUCAUAGUGGCCCUGGUUCCCAAAAAAUAUAAAAUCUUAUAGUGGUCUGAAAACUGUUAUGCUAAUAAAGCCCUGUCAAAUAUAUCAUUUAUGAUAAAACUAUUUUUCGUUCAUUCAUUUUAUAUUGUUUGAGCAGGGAAAUAUUGCACAAUAAUAUUUCAUGGCAAUUAGACCAUCGAAAUUUGGAUUUGUAAGCGGCAAAUAUCCAUAACAUUUAGUUUUAUGUGGAGUUAAUGAGGUAGACAUUCAAUUUGUUUAAUGAACUUUUACGUGAUACGCUAAAAGCCAAAAAAGAAAAUUUAAAUAGAAUUGAGACAUUGACAUAUAUACAAUUCUUAAUUAUGAGCGUAUUCAUUUUCAUUAGAAAAUGAAAGUUUCUAUUUCUUAUAUGGUCGUGUAAACAAAUUUUUGUACUCGCAUUGUUCUAUUAUUUGUUUAUGUUGGUGGCCAUAUACGUUGCUCAUGAGAUAAAUGGAACGUCAUCUAGAAGAAGUACUAUAAAGCAAUAUGGUGAAAUUGGACUUCAAAUGGUAGCGUGAACAGUGAUGACAGGAGUCAUCAAAUCGUCUCCAAAGCAAUGAUUAAUUUAUGUAGAACCUCGCGGAAUAUUCCAUGUAAGCAUCACACGGUUCCUCCAUAGCUAACCGCGGUCAAAUAUGUCCAGCCUUAUCUCAUAAUGUGUUGUUUUGCAAUUAUUAUUUCGUACUAUCUGAUCAUCCACGACCUCCAAAAAAAAAAAAACAACCACGUCAGAUUUGCCAUAUAUCCCGUAUGUAUCACAUGAACAGAAAUUUAAUCGUUGGAUCCAGUACUGUAACUAAAAAAUUCGGUUUGGCACCGUGGGAAUAAUGAUAUUCUAGAUGUCAAAGGAAUGCUCAGGAUUAGGUUUGAUUCUGUCCCCAGUUGAUUCUUAAGCUUUGGUUUAGCACCCAGCUGAAAAAAAAAACAAACAAACAAACAAAAAAAGGGAAAAAGGAAUACAGCUCACAUAGGAAUUCAUGUUAUCGAAGCUUCUAUUGAUAGAAUAAUAGGUCCAACCGAAAAAAGGUCAUCCUUCUUUAUUGAAAAAGCAAUGUCCGGCGAUCAUACUCAACCCAAGUCGCGUUCCUCUAGACAACAUGAUGAUCUCAACGUUGGGACGCGUUGGCGACCCUAAAUUCCCAUUCUCUCUCGCCGCUCAUCCCUCUCAACUCUCACUCAGUCUCACGUCUCUCAUUCUCACGCGGUCACGCAGCGCCUCCCUUAGUCCUUCUUGCUCACUCAGUCUUAUUCCUCUCACUUCUCGCUCUCUAACUCAUGCAAUCACGCGCUUCCUUCAUUCGAUGUUCGUUCUCUUACACACCUUUUUCUUUAACUUUCUAAGAACAGAGAGAGUCGUUGCUGGUCAGAGAAGAAGCGAGGGGUUAGACAACUGGGAAACGGUCUAUUUCUAUUUAUUGGGGUGUUACAGAGUACUAUAGAGUACAAGUGUGUGCUGACUCACAGGUGAAUGAACAAACGAUUCCUCAUAGGCUAAAAAUCCUGGACUCAUUCAAGACCCAAACCAAACCGAUCAGCUUGGUCCAGUCUAGUUCCAAGACCAAGUGAGCCAAUUCCAAAGUGGGAACCAACCCACCCUAUAACCGCUUACCCUUAUAAUUGAGGGCUUUUUUUGGUUGUUGUUCCAUAGUGAUUAUGUAUCUUGAGUUAACCUUGACACAUCAUUCUAAGUCUGAAUAAAUAAUAUUUGUACCUAAAAUCUCAAAAUGUCGAUCUGUUUGUUUACAUCUCAUGCGCCUAAAAUACUGUAGGUGAGCUCCGGGCUAAAUGGGCUAGAAGAUCAAUGUGGGUGGGUCCAAAAAAAGGAUAUUUAGUUCUUGAGUCUUUUUAUACUUAACCCAAGAUCACAAAAUAUCCCUGCCGGUUCUUGGACUCACCCGUGAACUAGAUUGGACCGGUCAGUACAAUUUGGUCCUAUUCCAAGAACCAUUGGGUCAGUCCUCAAGUUCUAGGGUAGGGUGGGACGUUCCCACCCUAAAACCGAUUGCCCUUAUAAACUAAGGGCUUUGGCUACAUAAUGAUGAUGUACCUUGGGUUAACCCUGACACAUCACUCUAAGUCCUAAUAAAUUAUAAUGUCGUUCUGUUUUUUUACAUCUCGUGGGCCUAAUGGAUUAUGGGCGAGCUUGAGCCAAAUGGACUUGAAGACCAAUGUGGGUGGGUCUAAAAAAGGAUAUUUAAUUCUCAAGUAAUUUUAUACUUGAACCCAAGAUCACAACUAUCCCCGCCGGUUUCUAAACUCACCUGGGAACUAGACCAGAUUGGUUAAUUCAGUUUAAUCCAAUUAUAGGAGCAUGUGGAUCGAUUCUCAGUUCUAGGGUAUGAAUUGAUCUACCCUAAAAUCAAUCACCUCUGAAGGAAUUUUUCUUUGGUUACAUUGAGUUAACCUUGACACAUCACUCUAACUCCUAACAAAUAAUAUUCUUACCUAAAAUCUCAAAAUGUCAAUCUGAUCGUUUACAUUUCGUAGGUCUAAUAUAUAGGCGAGCUCAGGCCACAUGGGCUUGAAGAGCAAUACCGGGUGAGUCUAAAAUAUGAUAUUUAGUUCUUGAGUAAUGUUAUACUUGAACCCAAGAUCACAAUGUGCCAACUCUUUUACCAGCUAAGCCAGCACCUUAUUGAUUAAUAGACUUCAAUUUAUUUCAUGUUAUCUAAUCAUUGACGGUCUCCAAAUAAUCCAUGUCAAUUUUUUUAGCGAUAUAUCCCAUAUGUAUCACAUGAAUUGACAUUUAAUUUUUGAGAUAAAGUACCUGAAUAUAAGCAAUUGGCGUUAUCGUCGUGGGGAUGAUGAUAUUUUAGAAGUCAAAAGAAACAUGCUCUGGACUGGGUUCGCUUCUGGCCCCAUCGUGCCUUAACCUCUGGUUUAGCACCCAGAUGGAAAAUAUAAUUUGUUAAAAGCGCUCAGGGAGGCCAAUCAGUUCAUCUGAUCGAAGCUUCUAUUGAUAGAAUAAUAUGGCCCCACCAUUAAAAGGUGUCCUUAUUUAUUGAAAAAGCAAUGUCCGAAAGUCAUACUAACAAUGAUUCGCAUUCUAUUUUACCAAAAAAAAAAAAUUUAAUUCGCAUUCUUCUAGAAAUACAUGAUUUCAACGUUCGGACGCGUUCGGCCCCUCUAGUCAAAUUGCAGUUUCCUGGAAAUGGAAUCUUAUAUCCACUUGUGAUGUGUCCCAAACAUCGUAUAUAUACCUCAGCAUAACCAGGACUUCUCAGCAUUCUCAGCCUUCUCAGUUUUCACAUCUCCAAUUCCUCCGGAGAAGAAAAAACUCACGAGUCAUAAACCGGCUCCCCAAAAGACCAUCUAGCAAUGGCAGAGAAGAACCAGAACCAAUACCACCCACCCGAGUCAAACGGCUAUCACCGCAACGAUCAAGAAUCACUUCAUACCAUGGAAGAUGAGGAGGCCAAGCGCAAGAAGAGGAUGAAAUGGACGAUCGGCAUCAUCGCCUUCGCCAUCUUUCAGGUAGUCCAAGGCCUCUUCUUCAUCCUGGUCAUCAUGAAGUUCAAAUCCCCCAAGUUCAGGGUCGGCGACUUUCCCGUCCAGACUCUGACCGUCGAGACUCAGGCCUCGCCUUCUUUCAAUAUGAGCUUCGUUGCCCCGAUCCGAGUCAAAAACACCAACUGGGGUCCUUUCAAGUACGACGCCUCCACUGUUUACUUCACUUAUGGAGGUGUCCAGGUGGGACAAGCAAUCAUCCCCAAGAGCAAGGCCAACUUCAAAUCUACGAAGAAGAUCGAUGUGAGCGUGACUCUGAGCUCUGCUAAUUUGCCCAGCAAUAUCAAUUCAAAUCUCGGGAGCAAAUUGAGCUCUGGGGUCAUAACAUUGACCAGUCAGGGCGAGCUUAAAGGAAAGAUUACAAUCAUGUUCAUGUUCAAGAAAAAGAAGAGCUCGCAAAUGAAUUGCACCAUGGCAAUCAAUACCACGACAAAGGUCGUCCAAUCCUUGUCGUGUAAAUGAAGAUGCCAACUGUAAUUCUCGUUAUUUAUACUUUGUGAGCUCACUUCUAUGUUUUCUUUCCACGAGUUUUCCAUGGAUUGAAUUGAGAAAUUUAUGUAUUUUCUAUCAUCCUGUUGAUUGAGCAUUCAUUUAUAAAUUCCUUUUUUGUUCCGUAUACAUGUCACAUAAUGUGCCGGACACAAUGUCCUUUGGAUUUUCUUUACUUUUUCCCCACAGAGAACGACUGGUCCCUGUAUUUCUUAUAUACGGAUUGCCAUGGAUUGGAGUUAGUGCAGACAUCUUUGAGUUAUUUGUGGCGUAGUUAGGACCUCUAGGGACGAGUGGACGAUCCCCGGUGAUGGGCUCUGGCCAUGGCUCAUUUCUGUCCCUAAUGGUUCUUGACAGCAGGGGAUAGCCCAGGGAUGACUAGCCGCGGCAUGUCUCGCGGCUGAACUUCACUAGUGAUAAGACAAACGUAUCCAAUAAUUUCUCUAUAAGCGAUGGUUUUUCAGCUUUGGCCAUCGCCUGAGAUUUUUUUUUUUUUUUAAAGUAGUAGAAAAUCAGUGGAACCGCCACGUUUUAUUCAAUAUAACUAUGAUACAGUAUUGGCAAAUAAGUCUGCUCGGUUGAACCAUAAGAUCAGUUCAGAGCACUGAAUCUAACGUUAUUUCUAAUAUUUACAGCGCAAAACUUCAAGGCAUGCCAACGCAAUGGCCUCUCGAUAUUUUUUGCAGAAAAGUAUUUAGUUAUUCCUGGAAACUGAGUCAUAUAUCCACUUGGGUUCUGUACAUCUAAUUUGUCCGCACAAGGACUCUGUGUGACAUCCAAUUUUGCAAUUUCGUGUUAAGUCAAAGGUGAAAAGUAACGAAACUGUUAUGGUUUAAGCUUUUUUCCCUUUUAGCGGCCUUUCCUAGAUCUUUAGAGCUUGAUUGUUUUGACUUUUGAAGUAUCAUAAACGCACGGUUGUCUCAUAGCUAGGCUUUUUUUCUUAAUUUGUCACGACCUUUUAUCCAUCUUACUUUAUCUAUUUAAGAACUUAAAAUUUUAGAAUUGGUACUUUUAAAUCUUAACAUGAUGUCCUAGUCAAGUUUUCAUUAUUUUUGCAUUAUUAUGAAAUGUUUCAUUUCAACUAUGUAUUUCUGACAUUUGUUUCAUACUAGUUUUUUUUUUUCCAGAUUUAAGAGCAUUUUUUUUUGUCUUUUCACAAAUUACUUGCCUAUACACAUAUGGCGGGGUCAAGGAUGGCCAUAUUUUCCACGAAACGAAUGAACAUAAGGGGAGAGUACACGGCGGGGUCAAGGAUGGCAGGCAAAGUUUGCGACGCCUUUUGCGGGUGUUGGGAGGGAUGAUGAGGGAGCGACGUCUGAUCGAUGGUGGCUCGCAUGCCAUCUGUGCUACGUACAUAGUGUUCGGAUUGUGGGAGGAAAGAGGGCAUUUUCGAAAAACCAGGAAAGCGUAAAAAGGAACGAAAUUAAAAGGGAAAAAAAAGGAAAUAGAGAACCGAUUAACUUGGACGGUCCAAAGAUUGGAUCCUACUUUGCACAUGAUUAUACCUUUGCCACCACUACUAAAACGGCUGGGUUGCAUAUCUCAAGCAUAGAUCUUAUUUCAAUACUCGUAUUACAUAACAUGCUGACAUAAUAUUAUACUGGAUAUCCAAUUCAGUAUUCUUUCUUCUUCACUUUUUUUUUUUUUGCAUAUAUAGAAGGAUCACACAUUUAUAAAGAUAGAUAAUGCCAAAUUUGUAUUCCAUGUUAUAUAAGCAUAAUAGUACAGAUCUUCUUGUGUCCCUCUGAUACAUGUGUGGCAUACCUCUCCUCUUUGUAACUUUCCCAAAUAAUGCGUCGAGAAUACUGACGUGCCACUUUAGAAUAUGCACCAUACUCGAUGACUCAUACGUUGACUCGAAGCCAUUCUGGAAAACAGGAUUGAGUCUCCCGCCCGCCUAUGCAGACUUGGCAGGCCAUUCUAUGCCGUUGGAAGUAGAGUGUGGCUAAGUCGAGGGUUCCCCUUCUUAAACUAUCGAAGCACAUUACUAGCUUUCCGACUGUCAAUGUUUGCUAAUGAAUAUUUGCAAGUAAUCUCUCAUGAUGAUGACAAUUUAUACCAUAAAACUUACUUUCAUCUUCGACGGAAUGGAAAACAGGGCCAUAGUAGUGACCAAGACUACCUUUUCCUCACCAUCAUAGCUUUUUCCCUGACAUAUUCCCACUAAACUCUCGCGUUUCUCUAGAAGUGAAAAUUUGGACGACGCGUUUGAGGUCAGGAGUCAAAUCACAUGGCUCUCUUCGUCCCAUGGAUGCUUCUUUUUGGACGUACUCUCACUCUGAACACUUUAUGUAAACCUUAAGCACACCCGUCCCUUCUCCAGCCUCACUACAUUCUCACAUAUCCAAUUCCUUCGAAGCAACGAAACUUGAAUUCCUUCCUGGUUUUGCAGAAUAUUACCAAAUGGCAGAGAAAAACCAGAACCAAUACCAACCACCUGCAACGAACAGCUAUCACCAGAGCGAUCAAGAAUCGCUUUAUACCAUGGAGGACGAUGAGGUGAAGCGCAAGAAGAGGAUGAAGUGGACGAUCAGCAUCAUUGCCUUCGUCAUCUUUCAGGUCGUCCAAGCUCUCUUCUUUGUCCUGGUCAUCAUGAAGUUCAAGUCCCCCAAGUUUAGGAUUGCCGAGUUCCACAUCCAAACCCUGACUGUUUGGACUUGUUGUACUGAAUUAGUACGUCCAUGAUAGGGUGCGAUAAGAACGCGCCGUUUCAUCUUGAUAUGCUACGAUGGAAAUACACCAUUUGAAGGGGUGUGAUGGAGUCAUAUAAAAGACUCCAGAAGACAACCGUUGGCACGGUUGGCAGAACAUACGCUUAGAAAAUCGAACAUAUGCUUAGAAAAUCCUCUCCUUUGUUUAUCCCCUUUCCAUAAAAAUAAAAAAUAAUAAUAAAUAAAAAAGAAGGCACUACAUUUCUUCAUAACAAGAACAAUCGGCAUUUACGCUGUGAAAAUCAGGUGCUUUCCUCAUAAUUGCAUUCAGACCAACGUGAAACAUCAUUUUUAUUCGUGAUUCAUCUGCAAUUCAAUGAUCGUUUCAGAAUAAAUUAUUGACUGCACAUUGGAAACAGGUAAAUCGUCUUCCGCCAACUUGAUUUCUAACAUUGGUAUCAAAGUCAGCUCGUGAUUUCUGCCUUGUUUUUAUUGAAUUUUCUCGCUUAUCACUUGAUAUCGGGAUCAAAAGAAUGAAAACUAUUAUGUUUGGAUGUUUAUUGCCCGGAAUUGCUAUAUGAAUCGUCAAAAACGAACUGGACAGAGAAUGGGUUCAGGGUUGCGUACACCCGUACGGUUUUGGCCAAAUUUCGAAAUAUUUUUUCGGCCAAAAUCAAUUUUCAAAUAUACAGGGUAAAAGUACUCGUCAAGACGAAUCCAACGGUGGGUUGAGCGUCGCCGAAUGAGGCCGGACGUGCCCACACACACGGCCAAAAGUCGCGGUACAUGGGCGCCACGUGCUCAAAGCGUUGGGAAAGCCAGUGCAUGAGCGUCACGCGCGCAUCGGCGAAGCGACCCGUGCUGAUGUCAUGGAUGACGUCAUCUAACGAUCGGUAACCGCUGGGAUGAUGUCACCACUGGCGACAGUUGGCCGGCCAAUCAUCGGUCGACGACCCGAGUGGAGACCCGACUCGAGGCCCAACCCGUGACUCAACCCGUUGACCCGACCCGACCGUUGACUGGUCAACCGAUCGGACUGGUGGUCAAAUUGGUCAGACCAGUCAACAGUUGGACUGAUCAACCGGUCCGGCGGUCAAACUGAUCGAACCAGCUAGGAGCCUGUAAGGCUCGCUGGCGCGUGCGCCACACGCGCCACACACUCAAGCAACGCAUGUGAGCGCAUGGGAGCUCCGAUUGGAGCGUGGUCAACAGCGUUUGGUUCGUAUGGUUGAGCUCUAGACUUUGGUUUAAUUAUUUUGUAUUUUUGAAUUUUAUAAAUGUAUGAAAAUGUGUAGGAAACCUUAAGUACUCGUAUUUUUGGGGGUUUAAUGCGUAAUUCAUUUUUUUUUAGCUUGUAUUUUUGUAAUUUUAGGAAAUACAGUAGCUAACCUAUAUGAAAAUGAUGUCAUAUAUGCUGUGUAGAGCUUAUUUCGAUGGUAACAUGUAUAUAGUUUAAUAUACUUGCAGUUUUCUAGUUCCAAGAAAAUUCGAAUAAUGGUAAGAAAUCUUUGUUUUUCUGUUACAUGUUGAAUUACGAUUUUGAUUAUAGUUACAAUAUAAUUAUUUUUUGUACGUUGAUUCACAUCAUGCUAUGUUUUUGUGUUAAUGGAAAAAUGUAGAAAUUACAUGAGGUCAUGUAAUUAUUUUUUCUAGUGGGAGUUCGUAGGUUAGUAGAAUUUGAAGGAGUUCUUACCUAGAACUUAAAAUUUGCACAAAUUAAACUAAUUAAUGAUAAUAGAACAAUUGUACAUAGGAGCUGAUUGGGAACAUAGUGAACUUUUGUUUCUAUGUCUUUUGUUGAAUUAUCAUUAAUUUAGUUUGUCUUUACUGCAAAUUAAAUAUGUGUGUUACUCUAAAAAAUGUUAUAGUAUUGAUUCUGCGUUUAUUAUGUCAAUGUGUUAUAGCAAUUGAUUAUGGCUUCGGCAUCCAAGACCAUUGUAGCUGACCUCAAUAAGGUUGAGAAACUAAACGGUGACAAUUAUAAUAUUUGGCACCGAAAGUUUCAAUACAUUCUUAAGGAGUAAGAGGUUUUGGAAACCCUCAACCACACCAUGGAUGAACUUGAGCAUAGAACUUCAGCUUAACACAGGAGAGAUCUAGAAACUUAUCAAACUUGGAAAAGGAAAAAUAGCAUUGCUCGCAUCACGUUGCUGAGUUGUAUGCAAGAUGAUCUUAUGUGUGAAUUUGAAAGUUAUGAUAAAGCUCAAGCUAUGUGGGUUGCCUUUAAAGAUAAGUUUGGGGAUACAUCUGCCACUAAGCUGAGGAGACUCACCAUCAAGUUUGACACAUAACGAAAGCGCCCAAAUGUAACAAUGAGGCAGCAUCUUUGAGAGAUGUCAAAUAUGAUUUGUGAGCUGAAAUCAGCAGGUCACUCCCUUACUGAUAAACAACAAGUUCAGACUGUUAUAAGGUCUCUUCCCAAUAAUUAGGAGCAUAUGAAGAUCAAUAUGAUAUAUAAUGAAAAUACUGUCACUUUUGAUGAUAUAGCACGUCAUUUGGAAUUAGAGGAUGAGCGCCUAGAGACUGCAAAAUCCUUUACCUGUACUUAUGUUGCUAAAUUAAGUUCACGCAAAGUUUCGGGCUUUAAGCGCAAAAGGAAUUCUCAAUUCAACAACAAAGGGAAGAAGAUUGAUUAGGCACCUAAGAGGGCUAAGACCUUCCAACGCAAGAAGCGUGGUGAGAAGAAAGACAAGGCCAAGAUGAAGUGCUACAAUUGUGGCAAGAUGUGUCACUUUGCUCGUGAAUGCACUGAGCCAAAAUAGGUACCUUAUUACUUAAUUACUUUAAGUAAUGCUUUUGUUUCUAGCACUGUAAUGCUUGCUUAAUCUCAUCUAAUGUGAAUUGUAGACUCAAGAGCAACAGACCACGUAGUUAGAGAUCAAGAAGCAUUUGUGGAGUAUCGUCGAAUUCAGCCCGGAAGAAGAUGGAUAUAUGUUGAGAAUAACUCAAAAAUUGAAGUGAAAGGUAUCGGCACAUGUAAAUUAAUUUUACGUGGUGGUCAAAACCUAUUCUUACAUGAUGUCCUUUAUACUCUAGAUAUUCGACAAAACUUGGUCUCCAUAGUUGUUCUUCUUAGCUUAGGUUAUGUAUUGAAUUUCAUAAUUGUGUUGACAUUUUGUAUGAAACAGUUUAUUAUGGUUCAUGUCAUGUAUCGAAUGGUUUUAUGGUGUUAGACAUUGACUAUGAUCAGUACAAUAUUAAUGUCGAUAGUUGUUUUUUUUUUUUAAUUGCAUCUUCUACUAAUGUUGAGAUUGAUGUAAGUACUUGGCAUGCUAGAUUAGAUCACAUUAAGUUGCAAAGAAUGCAAAGAUUAGUUAGAGAAUGCCUUUUAGGGUCACUAAUUAAUGUUGAUCUACCCGUAUGUGAACAUUGUCCAGCGGGAAAAGUAACUAAAAAACCAUUCGGUAAAGGGACUAGAGCCAAAUUUCCAUUGCAACUUAUACAUUCUGACAUUUGUGAUCCUUUGAAUGUGAUGGCGAGGUAUGGAGUCUCAUAUUUCAUCACUGUCAUAAAUGACUUCACGCAUUUCAGUUAUGUCUUUCUAAUCUCCCAUAAGUCAGAAGCAUUAGACUACUUUAGAGGAUAUAUAGCGAUGUUAGAGAAUUAGUUAAUUAAAAUAAUAAAGGCAUUGAAAACCGAUCGCGGACGUGGGUAUCUAUCGGAGCAAUUCAAAACUCUUUGUGAUGAAAAUGAGAUUGUAUGACAAUUGACUAUUCCUAGUACUCUACAACAAAAUGGGGUAGCUGAGAGAAGAAAUAUAACUCUAUUAGAAAUGGUUAGGUCUAUGAUGACGCGAGCAAAUUUACCUAUCUUCUAUUGGGGAGAUAUGUUAUUGACUGCUGCCUAUGUACUCAACCGAGUGCUCUUAAAAUCGAUCACUUCUACCUCUUAUAAAUUAUGGACUGGUAGGAAACCAGACUUAAGUAGUCUACGUCCGUGGGGAUAUGCAGCUUAUGUUCAUGAUUCUUCCCACAAAUAUGGCAAAUUAGGCCCUAGAGGGAAAAAAUGUAUCUUUAUAAGAUAUUUUGAGCACUCCAAAAGGUACGUGUUCAUAGGUGAACAAACUGAUAGAAGUGUUACCGAAAUGGAGUCAUGAGAUGUCACGUUCUUGGAGAACGAUUUUUCUAGUAAAUGUGAGAUUGAUAAGGACUUCCAAUUAUAUAAGAUGUGAGAUCCUAAUAACACACCCACUGAUGUUGUAGAGGGAAAUGAAGAUUUAUCUCAACAUGUAAGACCUAGUGGGGGUGUUGCAUUGUCUGGUAAACUAAAUUCAAGAGAAAUUCAGUUGCGUAAAAGUAUUCCUCGUCAUCAUUUUGAGAUUGAAGGAGAAGUAUUUAUGAUUGCUCAGAAAGACGAUGCCGAGCCUAAAACUGUUCAAGAAGCUCUCUCAUCCUCUGAUAAAGAAAAAUGGAGAAAAGUUUCGGAAGAUGAAAUGGAGUCAAUGAGGGCAAAUCAUGUCUGGGACUUGGUUAAUCUACUACAUAAUCAUAAGGCCAUUGGAAACAAAUGAGUCUUUAAGAUUAAGCGAAGAGCGGAUGGAUCCAUUGAAAAGUAUAAGGCUCGCCUUAUGGCGAAAGGUUAUACUCAACAAGAGGGUAUAGAUUAUGAAGAAAUUUUUUCACCAGUUGUAAGGUUUGCCUCAAUACGCUUUAUUCUAACCAUCGCUGCACAUUUGGACCUUGAAUUACAUCAAAUUGAUGUAAACACAGCAUUUCUCAAUGGAGAACUAGAUGAGGAAAUCUAUAUGAAACAACCAAUAGAUUUCAUAGCUAAAGGUCAAAAGCAUAAAGUUUGCAAACUUCAUCGCUCAAUAUAUGGCCUUAAGCAAUAAUCUAAAUAGUGGUAUCUUUGUUUUCAUCGAGCCAUAACAACUUUUGGUUUCAUGAUGAUCGAAGAAGAUCACUGUGUAUAUGUCAAGCAGUCCAAAGAUAAGUUUGUGAUUUUAUCAAUUUAUGUGGAUGAUAUUAUAUUGGCUGAAAAUGACAAGAUUUUGGUUAUCACCAAAAAAGAAUAGUUAUCCUCCAAUUUUGAAAUAAAUGACAUGGGAUAAGUUGAUUAUAUAUUAUGAGUUAAGAUCGAAAGAGAUCGAUCAAGGAAACUCCUUACUUUAUCACAAGAGUCUUAUAUAAUGAAGAUUCUUGAAUGUUUCAAUAUGCAACAUUGUAAUCCUAUUGAUAUUCCUAUCGUGCAAUGUAAAUGACUAAGUACUGAGAUGUGUCUAAAACUCCAGAAUAAAUUAAAAUAAUGAAAAUUGUUCCUUAUGCUAGUGCGUAGGGGUGAGCGCGGUUUUCGGGUAGAACCGAGAACCAGAGAACCGCACCGGAGGGUCCAGUUCGGUUCCCGAUCCCUUUUCUCUGGGAACCGGCGGUUUUGGUUCUGGUUCCGGUUCCAGUUCCAGUGCCAUCGAAACCGGAACCUAUCCAACAAAAAGCCCCCAAAUCAAAAAACCCUAAAUCACUCUUCACACGUUCACUUCACGCUUCACAGAACAGAACUGAGUCUCUCCUACUCGCCUCGACACCACCGGACGUUGCUCACCUCGCUGCUCAGCCGCUUGUCAUCGACGCCGCUCAUCCCCCUGUGGAGGCCACUCGCUCGCCCAGUCGCCCCCUUGACGACAUUCGUCGCUCGCCCAGCUGCCUCAACGCCACUCGCCAUUCACCCAGCCACCCCGACGCCGCUCACCACUCGCCCAGUUGCCCUCUCAACGCCACUUGCCGCUCACCCAGCCCUCUCGCCCAGCCGCCCUCGACGCCGCUCACCGCUCACCACUUGCCCAGCCGCCCCGACGGGGCUCGCUCCUCGCCUAGCCACCCCCGACGUCGCAUGCCGCUCGCCCAGAGGAGGUCUCACCUCAACGACUGCUAAGCAGAGGCUGGAACUUUUUGGCCACAACAAGCUUGAAGAGAAGAAGGCACUAAGAUCACUCACUAUUUUAAGGUAAAGUUUUUCCUCUGUUCUAUCUCUCUUUCUUUUUUAGGGUAAAAUUUGAGUUAUUGUGAAAGAUGGUAUCCAUUUGUUUCUGAUUCUUCCUUUGCAGGGCGAGCAAAUUGGCAAUAUGUUUUGUUAGUUUUAUCGAGGAGAACAAUGCAGGUAACGCUACAGCUAUGCUUAUGGCUCGUCUCACUCCUAAAGCUAAGGUAUGGGACUAUGGCAAUAUGUUCUGUUAGUUACAAUCAAGUGAUCUUUGGAUGUUCUUUGUUUUUUUUUGGUGUUGUGAAAUGGUUGUGGUGAUUCACAUGUAUGAUGCAGGUACUUAGAGAUGGAAGAUGGGGUGAGCAGGAUGCUUCAAUCCUGAUCUUUGGCCAUUAUGAUCACAAACCGAUCCAUCUUAUCAAAGAUAAAAGACUACAGCAUUUGUCAGUAGAAGGUUAGUCAUAUAAUUCCUUUGAAUCAUUGGGCUUAUUGAAGCUUCAUUAUCUUGUUAUAUUAUCAACUUAACUGAUGAUCUUGAAACAUAUAAGAUGCUGGAAUGUAGAUAUAUUUUGUUGCAAUAAAGAAUUGUAUUUCUUUGUUUUGUUAGAUGCUUGACUGUCACUGGAGUAGUGUACAUUGAUUUAUGAGGGCUUUAACUAAAGAAAGCAUGUAGCGUAAAAGAAUUGGAAUCGUAACUUUGUCAGCUCAGUUGACCCUUCUUACAGUUUCCUUUUUCCCGCUAGGUCGCUAAAUAAUAAAUGUGACUCUCUUAAUCUGAAGAAAAAAAAAACUUAUUGGAACCUGGAACCGACCCUGGAACCUGUGACAAGGUAGGUUCCACAUUCUUGGUUCUGACGGGUAGGUUCCAAGUUCCAAAAAAUGAGGAACCUGUACCCGAUGGUAGGUUCCAGGUUCGAACCGAAACCGGGAACCGCUCACCCCUACUAGUGCGGUCGAAAGUUUGAUGUAUGCUAUGAUGUGUACUCGACCCGACAUAUGUUAUGUUGUGAGAUUGGUGAGCCGAUAUCAAUCAAAUCUCGGUCAAACACAUUGAAAAGCAGUGAAGAGGAUCCUGAGAUACUUGAAAGGUACCAUGAACUAUCAACUUUGUUACUAAGGGAAUGAUUUACGCCUAUUAGGCUACUCAGAUGCUGAUUGGGGUGGAGACCUAGAUGAGCGUAAAUCGACUUCUGGAUAUGCGUUCUUGCUCAAUGGAGAUGCAAUUUUUUGGAAUAGCAAGAAAUAGAUAUGCACGGCCUUGUCUACGAUGAAGGCAGAAUUUAUUGCAUGUUCUGCCGUAGUGCAAAAAGCAAUAUGACUAAAACGUUUCUUGGAAAAUUUAGCCACUAUCACUAAGGUUCCAAGACUGGUGAUAGUUUAUUGCGAUAGUCAAGCAGCCAUUGCCUAUAUGAAGGAUUUCAAGUAUCAUGAAAGGACAAAACACAUUAACAUAAAGAACAACUUCAUAAGAGAUAUAAUAGCGCAUAAAAAAUGAUCCUACAAUAUAUUACAACCAAUAGAAUGGUUGCUGAUCCAUUUACAAAGGUUAUUCCUAGAGACAUAUUCUUAACCCAUAUGAUGUCACUAGGAUUGCGUAGAAUGUGAUAUGUGUUAUUGUAGAGGAUCAUUGGUUUAUGUAUAUGUGAACAUAUGUAUUGUACUUGUCUGUUUAUUAGUGACUUAAUGUUUUAUCAAUAAGUACAAAUCCAUUAUGAGACUAGCACAAGCAUUCAUAUAUUAUUGGAAAGUAUGUCAGCAUGCAAUUAUUGGCUCAUUUACAUGAGUAAUCGCCUCAAGUGUUAUAAUUAGUACAUUGAGAUGAGACAUUAUGUACAAAUAAAUGCUGAAGAGCAAGUCUAGUACAUAAAAUACGUUGCCUUAAUUGGAGUCAAGAUAAGGUAUGUGAUUUGUUUAUGAUAAGAUCGAACAUGAUAAUCCCACAAUCAUAUAUGCUUGUAAGAUGCCGGAUGCGGGUACUUAAUUGGGCGCUAUAGAAAGCAAACUAAUAUAGCACUCGGGCUAAACAUGAGUGCGUGAGAAGCACGUGACUAUGUUUAGGUUAAGAUCCAUAUAGUUGAUAUAUUUAAUAAAUGACAUACGCUCUUAUAAAAAGAGAAAUCAACUAUAGCAUGUAAUUCAUACCACAUGUGCAUUGUACGACCAACAAGAGAAGGUGAGUGAAAUAAAUCCUAUUUACUCAUUGUGUGAGCCCUUGAGGUAAUUUAUAAUUUACCUCAUUUUGUGCCCUAUGUUAUUUCUGACUAUGUUCUCGAAGUGAAAGAUCAAUGUUGCUACUUUAGCAUGUUACUGGCAGUCAUGAAUAGAUAUGGCUUUAUGGGACAUGUCUAGGAAAGUAGUUGGUCUGAAAUAGAGAGGGACAUGAGUGCGAAAGAAGACUGUUGUUGUUUUACAUCUAUCACAUGUAUUUACUAGUCGACCAAUUAUAUCACUUUUUGUGGUUGCGAAUAUAAUUAUAAAUACAUGGACCACCACCUUGGCGGCCAAGAUGGUUUAGGCUCUCUCCCCCUCACGAAGGGGAGGAGUUCGAAUCCCCUCACGGUUGUUUGGGUCUUAAGUGGGACGCCGGGGGUGGUAGGUCCCCCCGCUUACGUGUCCCCCUAGGUUUACUCACUAGCUGCUGACUGUAUAAGGUUCCUGGGUAACAAAAAAAAAAAAAUACAUGGUGUUUUGAGAAUAAUCAAGUAUAGCCUUUAAGGGAUAAAUAUACUUGAAUUGAUGUAACAAAAUAUGUCUGGGGCACUGUGAAACAUUGAUUGUUUAUUUCUUUUUUGGGGUUGUAGCCAUUAUGUCAUCCCUAACAGGUGCAUAAUUUGAGCUCCCAAGUACAAGUGUACUCAUUAGUCACACGACUUACUUGCCAGUAUGAAUUGUUUUGUAAAAUUGAUGAAUAUUAAAUGUCUUAUAUUCUUGAUAAAGCGCUAUCAAGCCCAUCAUGUCUAAGUGGGAGCCUCCCCCUCAUCGAUAUGAGCUUUGUCGCUCCAGUCAUAAUUAAAAAUACCAACUAGGAUCCCUUCAAGUAUGAUGUUUCCACCAUGAACUUCAUCUAUGGGGGUGUCCAAGUUGGACAAGCAAUCAUUCCCAAGAGCAAAGCCAACUUCAUGAGCACCAAGAAGAUCAAUGUGAAGGUGACUUUGAACUCUGCUAAUUUGCCUAGUGAUUCAAAUCUUGGGAGCAAUUUGAGCUCUAAGAUUAUAAACUUGAACAGUCAAGGUGAGUUCAAAGGAAAAAUCAGAGUGAUGUUCAUGUUCAAGAAGAGGAAGACCUCUCAAAUGAAUUGCACCAUGGCCAUCAACACCACGACAAAGGCAGUCCAAUCCUUGUUGUGCAAAUGAAAAUGAGCAUGGGGAUCGUGUGAAAUUAUGAUUUUCUGCUCUAUUAUUCUUUUGCAAUUUAUUUCAUUCUUUUUGUACAUAUUGCUUUUUGUUGUGCGAGAAUUUUUUUCGGCUUGUUUUUGGCAGACCAUAGUUGUGCAGUAGUUGAUCAUUUGAUAUAUCUAUGCAUUUUAUUUUUUCAUCUUAUAGAUGAAAAGAUGUGUGUAAAUAUACAAAUUAACAAAAAAAAAAAAACUUACAAAUUUAUCGACGGAGAUGGGAUCAAUUUGUAAAUUAAUCAAAAAGAUGCAUAGCAGUCAUGUUAUAAAUUCAGCUUAGUUGAACCUUACAAUGAGUUCAUGUCAGUGUCAUGCUCGUGAGGUUCCCAUGACUAAGAGAUUGUACAUUUUCGAGGAAGACCUCUCUAGAUUGUUAGGAUUCCGCAAGAGCUUCCGAAAGUUCCAAGGGCGAGCAAUACAGUAAUUGCGUCGAGAUCUAGAACUCUCUAGGCAUAAAUACUAAUAGUUGGUAGGUUAGGAGAUGCAAUCCCAUGCGCCGAAUCGAAGUACGAUCAAUGAUUGUAAUCUAAGGGCCUCAAGUCAUCGCACGGUUACGAUCCAAAACGAUCAGCCCAUGACAAGUGGUAUUAGGGCAAGAAAAGAGAUCUAUUUCAAGAGAUCGAGGAGCACCACCUGUUCAAGAGAAUGUCAAGCCAAGAAGCUAUUAUAGAUAGAGAGGCCAUCCAAGUCAAGGAGACCACCAAGAGAAGAGAAGCCUCAAUGGACGCCGUAGCCGCACUCAAUGAGAAGCUCGUGAAGGUAAGGAGUGCCAUUGCUGAGUUCAUGAAAGGACUCGACGAUGUGAGAGACCACAUCAUGGAAGUUGAGGUCUUGCUCCAUGAAGACUUCACGAACAAUAUCAACCAAGAUACGACCUUGUUGCACGACAAGGACGAAGCCCUUGAAGCAUCAAUCGACUUUCUGAGGGAACGAAUCCAACGAUCAACUUUCUGAGGGAACGAGUCCAAGUGAUUGAGGAAGAGAAUCCUCGUAGGAAUGAGGUCAAAGCCAUGAAAGCGGAGAUCUAAGAGCUCAAGACCAAGCUCGCCCUAUGCAAGAUGAGUAUCGUGAAUGCAAUGAUGCCCACGCAAGCAGUGCCCAAGCUAGAGGACUGAAGCCCAAAGAACUCAAAGGCAACUGAUCCGCCAAGGAGGUGGACAACUUUGUAUGGAGCAUGGAGUAGGACUUUGGCCCAUCAACAUCCAAGACGAAAUGAUCAAGGUAAGAACCGUUUCAAUGUUCCUCACGAUACCGCAAAUGCUUUGGUGGCGUAAUAGGUGCGACGAGACAAAGCACGGUGCUGAUCUCGUGAACACAUGGGAAGACUUCUUGAAGGAGUUCUAAGACUACUUCUUCCUUGAGUUUGCUCAGCAAGAAGCCCAUAGCAAGCUCCAUCGCCUCGAACAAAGAGGGACGAUCUAAGAGUAUGUGAAGGAAUUCACUAAGCUCAAACUCCAAAUACACAAUCUUGGAGAGGAGGAGGCCCUCAAAGUGUUCAUGGAUGGGCUCAAGCCAUGGGCGCAACUUGAGCUUAAACGUCGGGACAUGAAGAGUCUCACGAGAGCACUAAGUGUGGCCAAGUCCCUUGUCGACUUCACCAAAGUUGACUCAUCAAAGAACCAAGCAAGGGAUUAAAGGUCAAAUGGACAAUCCGAGAACGAAGGUGGAGACCCUCCCUGUACGCUGAAAGAUCAAGGCUUCCAAGGCAAGACAUGGGGAGAAGGAGCGUAUAACCUUCCAAAAGGGUCGACCCCAAGCGGACUACACCACGAGUAAGUUCAACCAACCCCCGCUGUCUCCUAACUUUAUUUGCAAAUGUCAACGUUGGACCCAAAAAUGCCCAACGAAGGGUAAGAUCAACACUCUUCUUGCCAUAGAAGAGGAGGAGGAGGAGGAGGAGUCCAAAGAAGAAAAGCGACAAAUUCUGCUUGGAACCAUGAAAUAUGUCAAUGCCAUUCAAGCCUAGUCAUCGUCCGAAAAGAAGGAAACUACCCCGAACACGGACAUGUUCUUUGUGGAGAUCAAGGUAUGUGGGUGAGUCCUACACGCCUUGGUUGACAUAAGCACUCUGAACAUGUUCAUGUCCACCAAGGUAGCUAAAGCCUUGGGACUUCACAUGGAGCCAAAUGGGAAAUCGUUCAAGGCCAUCAACUUGAACAGACUUGCAAGCAUAGGAACAACUCCCAACAUGGACGUUCGAAUUAGAGGAUGGAAGGGCAAGCUCUCCUUCGAGAUAAUCCCCCUCGAUGACUAUGAUCUCAUUUUGGGCAUGCAAUUCUUUCAUAGUGUGAGGUCCAUGAUCAACAUGAGGACCAAGACCAUUAUGAUCCUUGAUCCACAAUGCAUGGCGAUGAUCCCCAUGAUGAAAGGAGCGAUCAACACCAAGACCAUUGCCAUAAUCUGACGCCUUGACGGAAGUCUGAAGACCGAGAAGCACACAACCGAGUCACAACCAUAGCCGCCAUCCUUGGAGAAGCUAACAAUAGGAUUGGAUCCUCCUACUUCAAUUCACAACAUGCCAAUCCAAGUGCUCUUCCCUGAGGUUGGGUGCUUGCUACGUGCCAUGCCCGAGCUGAAGUUGGAGUAAUAUUGUCCACCAUUCAAGAGGCUUAGAACCAAGUGAAAUCAAAAUAAGAGGGCUUGAGCUCAUGCCAAGAAGAAUGCUCUCUAAGCCGAGACCAACGAGGGUGUCGCCCGAAUGGAUGGGGGAGAAUGUCACGACUGCGAGGUUCCCAUGACUAAAGGACCAUGCAUUUUUUAGGAAGACUUCAAGGCGGGCAAUACUGUAAUUGCGAUACGAGCUGAACUUUCUUGGCAUAAAUGUCGGUAGUUUGUAGGUUAAGAGAUGCAAUCUCGUUCGCCGAAUCAAUGUAUGAUCAAUGGUUGUAAUCUGAGGGCCUCAAGUAUAAAAAGAGGUGUUCUCCCCCUCAUUUGUAUCCAUCUAACCAUUCAAUAAUUUAAAGCUCCUUCCUCUCUUCCAGAGCUUCUCUUUCUAUAAACUUUCUUCCUCUACGAUUUGGGUAAACGAGCGAGUGAGUGAUCAAUCCGAGUAAAGCUUGGCUUAAGUGCCCCGACAAUCCAAGUGAUCCCAAAAGAGUCUAAGUCGCUGCACGGUCACGAUCCCAAACGAUCGGCCUGUGACAUCAAUCUAUCAAAAAGAAAAUUCUUUAAGUGAUUUUCAUGAGUCGUAUUUUGGGCCUAAAAAAUGCUAAUGAUUUUGCUAAUUGCCGGGCAGUCCUUUUGAAAUUGUAAUAUUUCUGACCCCUUUUCAUUAUCGAAGUCAAAAUGUGAUCAUGAUACUAUGAUAACUCUCUCGAUAGUGUCCCCUGCAUAAUCAUUAAUUUUUCUUUGUAAUGAUUUCUUUCCAUAAAAUAUAAAUUGAAGAAUGAGAUUAUUUUACGAAAAAUAUUUUUUGUAGUACUUCAAACCUAAAAAAUGUUAAUGAUUUUGCUAAUUGCAUGGCACUCUGUGUGAAAUACUAGUAGUCAAAAAGUGAUCGUGAUACUAUGAUAACUCCCUCCAUGGUGUCCCCUUCAUAAUCAUUAAUUUUUCUGUGUGACAAUAUUUUUCUUAUAAAAUAUAAAUUCAAUGAUCAGAUUAUUUUAUGAAAAAUGAAUUAUUCGAAAAAUACUUUCCUAAAAAUGAUUGUUAGUAUCAUUCAGAAAAAAUAAUUAAUAGAAAUUGUUAUCAAUAUUAACAAUUAAUAUAUAUAUAAAUAUUUACGUUGAUAAUGAAUAUAUUUUUUAUUUAUUCAAUUAUUUGAAAGAUACAAACAAUCUUUAUUAAAAAGGUAUUUUCGAAACUGUUCACUUUCUGGCAAGUGCCUGGCUAAGGUGAAAGCAGGUCAUAAUCGCAAUGAGUGUGAUGCAGACUUUUUACCUUCGUAAAAAAGAGUUUACAUUUGCUCCAUUUCACGGUAGCUUUUUGACUUGACUCACUUUGCGUUCAUAUGUGCGCGGAAGAAUUUAGCAAGAAGAUAGGAAAAGUGAAGGUGAUAUUUAGUAUGUGAAUUCAGGAAAGGCAAAACGGUAUAAUCCUCUCUUUUGAUAUAUUUGGAAAAUGAGGUAAAAGGGAGGAAAUGAAAAUUUGGGAAGGAAACGAUGAGAAAUUAUAAUAAUAAUUAUUAUUAUUAUAAAAAGAAACUUUGUGAGAGGAGAGAUGAGAGAUAAAAUUUUGAAGUUCUUGGGAAGCCUUAUGGGACUAAUGCCAAAGACUUAAGUGCGAAAUAAUGUAAUCCUAGACGUAAACAGAGAAACUUGAAAAGAUUGGACAUGAGAUUUUCUGCUCUUAUAAAAAUUUUAAAGUAUGUGUAAUCCUUAAACUAUAAAAAAAAAAAAAAAUACUUAAAAGUUUAGGUUUCAUAUCAAACAAGUUAAAAGUUUAAUAAUAACAUUGCAUAGUAGACCUAAGUCCAUAGAUCAUUGUGUCAUUUUUCUUUAUUAUAAUAUUUAAAAAAAGACCAUAUGCAGGGUCAAGCUGAACAUGAGACACGCUUUGAAAGUUCAAAACCUCCUAAGUAGGGAUUACUCUUCUUCGUCCAAUCGGUCGUCCUCCGGUGGCGACGUGGCUGAAAAUGUACGGUACUGAUCUUUGAGAGGACUCUCGGAAUCGAAACGUCUAUUUGACCGAGAGAGGCCAAAGAAAGGAACCUAAAAAAAUCCUAUCAGCCGAAGACGAAAUUCACCUUAAAAGACAAGGCAUCUCUCUCGUUGGCGACUCUUUUUUUCUCCGUAAACUCGCGUCCAUCUAGAAGUGAACAUUCCAACGUAUGACAGACGCGCUUAACCCAGUAGUCCAGAUUCCAAUUUCCACGAAGGUGAUCUGGUCUCACAUCCGCUCUCCCUCGUUCGACACACAUUUGUCUGACCUCCGAGCAACUUUACAUAUAAAAACCUCAAACUGACCCCCCACACUUCUUCAAAUCCAACCAUCAUUCCUAUCCAAUCUGGAGAAAAAUUUAGCCAGAACCUCUAAUUAGUUACAGGGUUUUCCAAGACAUUGGGGAUGGCGGAAUCCAACCACAACGGCAGGGUUGACGAGGAGGCGUUGCUGAAGAUGGAGGAGGCAAAGCGCAAGAAGAGGAUGAAGUGGACGAUCGGCAUCAUCGCCUUCGUCAUCUUUCAGGUAGUGCAGGCUCUCUUCUUUGUGCUGGUCAUUAUGAAGUUCAAAUCCCCCAAGUUCAGGAUUAGCAACUUCGACAUCUCAAAUUCAAACUUCAAUCAAUCCUCGCCCUCAUUCAACAUGAACUUUGUGGCUCCAAUCCGGGUCAAGAACACCAACUGGGGUCCCUUCAAGUACGAUGCUUCUAGCGUUGACUUCACCUACGGAGGCUUCAAAGUGGGACAAGCGACCAUUCUCAAGGGCAAGGCCAACUUCAAGUCCACAAAGAAGAUUGAUGUGAAUGUGACUCUGAGCUCUACUAAUUUGACUGGCAAUUCAAACCUCAGGAGCGAUUUGAGCACUGGGCUCAUGAACUUGACCAGUCAAGGCGAGCUUAGUGGGAAAGUAACGGUCAUGUUCAUGUUCAAGAAGAGGAAGAUCUCACAGAUGAAUUGCACCAUGGCAAUCAAUACCUUGACAAGUGUGGUACAGGCCUUGUCAUGUAAAUGAGCAUGCUCGGAAAAGUUGGUCCCACAUCAUGUUAUGGCUUUGUAUGCUUGGUUUUAUAUGUUUGUGAUGCGUUUUUCAUGGAUCUAAAUCAAACUCAGUAUUCUAUCUUGUUUGAAUUUGCCCUUCCUUUUUGUACACAUCUCAUGUACUGCAACUGGAUCGGAGCUUUAGCUCAGUGUUUUAAUUUUGUUUCUACCUAAAUGGAAUGGCUACUACUGUUUAUCUUAACGAUCAUUGUUAAUGCGUCCAUUCGUUUCACAUGCAUGUAUGAAGAAGGCAUAUCGAUCUGUCAAAGAUCGCAUACGGAGAUGAUCGGUUAGUCCUAUAUACGUCAUACGUAAUAAGCUGUGUCGUUUGGUGUAGCUUUGAUCUGAUUGCUUUAGUAAUCUACAUUUCUUGUACUUGUGCCCUCCUUCUAUCCGAUGGGCGUUGUGGUGGAUGUUGUCUAACCCACACUGCAUUUUCUGGAGUAGUAGCAGAGAGUUAAGAUGAAUAUAGCUCACCUGACCAAGAAAAAGAAAAAGACGAAAAUAGUUCACGCGACCAAAUCACAACACAUCAAUGUCCAGAGCUUUGACUUUUCGGACUCUGACCUAUAUCCGUGUCGGGACUGAGAAAAUAUUGGCUACCGCUAGGGUUUCACGCUGUCAAAAUUCCAACUCAUUCACCGGGCAAAACAUGUCGCCCAGGCCCACCAUGUUCUCUCUCUCUAGGCCCACCAUGUUCUCUCUCUCUCUCUCUCCAGUUCGUCGCUCCUAACCCCUCUUCACUUGGCUUCUAACCUAAUUAAUUUCAAAAUGGACGACACCUCUCUCACUCCAUUAGCUCUUCACGCGCUCUCUCUUUCACUUACGACUCACAACUCCCUCCCACUCACAUGAGCUCUCCUCCGAUGAAACACGUUGCCUCCACCUCCAUCGUCCGAAGAACAGAGCGAGUCGAGAGAGAACUGUACAUUAAAACCAAACACAAGUUUUGAAGUAAAUCUAAGCACUUUUCGCGGCGGAGUCGAAGGCAGCAGCGGCAUGUACAGAGCAGGGCGGCAGCGACGUGGUUCAUCAGACAGCGGAGAGGGUGAGAACAGAGCUAGUCGCGCGAGAGAGAGAGAGAGAGGGUCACAUGAUGUGAGAGAAAGAGCUCGUGAAAUCGAUUAGGUUAGGAGCAAGGAAGUGGACAGAGAGAAAGAACACAGUUGGGUUGGAGCGAGGAAGUGGACAGAGAGCAUAAUGAGCCCAGACGACACAUCUCACCCGAUGAAUGGACUAGGAUUUCACACGCUGACAUCCGAAUGGUACCCAAUAUUUUCUCCGUGACUUACUCAUCUAGUGUGGCAUUAUUGCCGGCACGAUACAUUUGUACUUUUGUCGUUUUCGACAAUCCAAAUUAUUUGGGGGAAAAUAUUUAAUUUAAUUCCCGAAUUCUUUCCGUUAGUUUUAAUCCUAAUUUUACUUCUUUAGUAUAGUAAAGUUCAGUCUUUUCGUUAAUUUUGCUAUCGAGAGUUGCUGAAAUCGAUUGCCAAUCGUUGUCGUGGCCGUUAUGUUUGCCAUGUCAAAUGAGCAGGGCCCACAUUUGUUGACAUAUCAAAUCACGGCGGCAAAAUUGAACUAAAAAAAAAAUCAAAGAAAAAUCAUUGCAGAUGAAGUCUCCAGCAAGAGCAGUCAGCCCCCAGAUGGCCCACUCGCCCUUGCUCAAAUCUGCAUGGGCAAGCCCUAUUGGUUAUAGUGGCAUUGCUCACUGGCAUCACCACUGCCGCAAUUGACGAGUGAUUGAUCAUCACCGCCACAUACACAGGGGUAAAUUAUAAGCCUGAUGGAGUCACAUCUGGUAACUAUUACACUCCAUCUUAUUUUAAAUGAGAUAGCGACUCUAAUAGGGUUAUUGUCGAAACAUCACCAUGGAUUCAAUAUCAAGAUCGCGAAACUUUCGUGUUGUUUUGGAAGUAUCAUAUUGCAAAUCCUCCCGUUGAAUUAUAACGUGCAAAACAUCAAGAAUAUGUUUCUUUCCCAUGGAAAACAAUCGAAUCUGUAAUGCUUUCUUGUUCACGAUUCAUUGAAUGGACAAACAACAUGGUAUUCCGAAUUACAUUAAGCUCCUUGGAGUCUUUCAAUAAUUAUCUCGAAUGUUUCGUGAAGUAACAAUUUUUCUAAAGAAAAGAAAUUGUAAACUAUACUACUCUUAAAAUGGCGAAUCGUUAGAUUAAAUUUAUCAUUUAACGACUUUUCUUUGUUCUGACGUAUUAGGAAGUUCAUUGAAAGCGAAGUCUUCUCAAAAAGUCAGCCAAGGCAGGCGAAAGAGUCACGACGCUGCUCGUCCAGAUUCUCCAGCCACACAACUUUCAGGUAAGCUUUCGGUCGAACUCAUCACCUUAAGUAAGCAUCAAUUCUCAUGCUCAAAUCAUAAUAAAAUAUAUAACAUAAAAUAAUUUUCUUGACCUUCUAGAUGAGCGUCCACAUCACAAAACCAUCAUUUCCAUCAAAGAAUCUUAUUAUACAUUUAAUCCGCUACACAAAAACCAAAUUUAUGGCUAACGAAUCUUAUUAUUUUUUUAUUUCUCUUUUGUUAAUUUCAUAUUGAGUAGCUAGGGAUCUCUGCCGAUUUUUGCGUACCUUGAUCCUCGUCUGUGAAUAGGCUGGAGAUUCAACUGCAGUUAUCUUUUUGGGAUUUUAAGUUGGUAAUAGAAAGUUCUUGUUCACAAACGGAUCGGGAUCUAUAUCAGUGGCUGCUGGAAUGUUCGGUUUAAGACACCGACGAAGCACAAUUCCACCAUAAGCAAAACCCACCGUCAGUCACAGCCACACGAAGUGCAAAUGUAAAAGACCAAAAUCAGCCGGACAGCUAAACUUAAACCGUCUUUGCGAAUAACAAAGAUAACCUCAUAUCAAGGAUGGGGUAGGGAACCAAAGCUAUGGCCUUCGGCUUGCUAAUCGAGCUUUAAACCACUCGAUGAACCAACUGAUCAAAAAUAUUGAUGAGUGUUGAACACGAUCCACUUGUAUUAAUGUGCAAUGUGAUAAACCGAAGUUAACAUAUCGAUCUCCAUAAAAUUAGUAUUGCGCUCUCUCUCCCUCUCUUGUUCUUUUCAUUGUGCGGGGCCUACAUAUGGCCCCACGCGCUUGCGUGGUUCUGGUAUCAUUGAAAACCUUGAGGUAGGGUUAACAACAUUUGUAUAAACCGUACGGUAAAGAUCUCGGAGACUAUUCUUGCAUUCAAAGUUUCGAUGGGCCGAUGUUUUGUUUUAACAAGCCUCUCGUUGCUGACAAAUUCUUGCUCGCGGUUUCGUCUAGAAAGUGAACAUUCCAAGGACGCAUUUGGUGACUCGGAAUUCAAAUAACUUCUUCUAGGAAAGAGCCCGCCUCCAUUUGAUCAUAUAAUAUCAUAAUAUCAUGGAUAUCAAAUCCUAUAUAUACCCUACCAAUUUCUCAUUUCAAUCUCCACAACUUCUGCAAUCUCCAAAGUCGAAAUCACAGAAAGCAAAACUGACAGAUAGAGAGAGAGAGAGAGAGAGAGAGAGAGACUUUCUGUUUUCUAUUCUUCCAUCUCUUCCAAAGAAAGAAGAAUUAAGAAUGUCCAAAUCCGAUCACGAGUCGCUCCAUACCAUGGACGAGGAGGCAAAGCGCAAGAAGAGGAUGAAGUGGACGAUUGGCAUCAUUGCCUUCGUUAUCUUUCAGGUAGUCCAAGCUCUCUUCUUUGUGCUGGUUAUUAUGAAGUUCAAGUCCCCCAAGUUUAGGGUCAGUGAGUUCGACAUCCAAACAUUGAACGUCGGGACUCAAGCCUCGCCCUUGUUCGACAUGAGUUUUGCUGCUCCGAUUCGGGUCAAGAACACGAACUGGGGUCCCUUCAAGUACGAUGCCACCACGGUGGACUUCACCUAUGGAGGUGUUCAGGUGGGACAAGCAGCAAUUCCAAAGAGCAAGGCCAACUUCAAAUCCACCAAGAAGAUCGAUGUGAACGUGACUCUUAGUUCAAAUACCUUGCCCAGCACUUCGAAUCUUGGGAGCGAGUUGAGUUCAGGGAUCAUAACAUUGAACAGUCAAGGUGCGCUUAAAGGAAAGGUGACAGUCAUGUUUAUGUUCAAAAAAACGAAGACCUCCCAAAUGAAUUGCACCAUGGCAAUCAAUAUAGCGACAAAGACAGUCCAAUCCUUGUCCUGCAAAUGAGGAUUAGAGAAUGCGACCUCCAUUAGAAUGCUUGCUGGCUUUUCUUUUCUUUUUUUUCUUUUUUUUUUUUUUUGUGUGGAUUGGAUAAGAUUUUGUACUACAUCUUAGCUUUUUUCCAAUUGUAAUUUGUUAUCACUAUUAUUGAAUCCUAGGAUGUGAGCCUUUAAUUAGUCUGUUUCUUUCCUCACUUGGAACUUGGGAGCAAGAAAAACUGUUACUAAACAUUGGGAUUGUCUUGACCCAUAUAUAUAUUGAAAAGCAUAUGGCUAUCUUUCCUGUAUAUUUUUUUCAUAUAUCUUUUGUAUUUACAUGGCUAUAUAUAUACACACACACAAGUACUACUAGGGUAACAAUCACCUAUUAGGCUAAAUAUAAGCUAUAUAUUAACUUUCUAUACAUAUCACUCCUACAAAUCAGCUCAUGCCAAUACUCCCCCUCAAGUUGGUGCAUAAAUGUUGCUUAUGCCCAACUUGUCAAAUGAUCUGUAGAAGGCCUUGCUCGAGACGGUCUUUGUCAAUAUUUCUGCUAGUUGAUCUUCAAACCUCACAAACAGGAAUUGAACUAUCUUUGCAUCUAGAUUUUGCUUAAUAAAAUGACGAUCAACCUCAAUAUGCUUGGUAUGGUCAUGUUGCACGAGAUUAUGCGAUAUGUCAAUAGCACACAAAAAAGCUUCAUCUCGGAUCUAGGAGAAAAUCUCAAUUCGGACAUCAACUUUCUAAGCCACAAAAGUUCACUUAGCUGUUUUGCCAUCCCUCUGAAUUCUACCUUCAUACUCAACAAAGCCACCACUUUCUGUUUCUCUCUUUUCCAAGUGACUAGAUUCCCCCCAACAAAUACAAAAUACCCUAAAGUUGAUCUCCUGUCAUACACACUCCCUCCCCAAUCUACAUCCGUGUAACCUUCAAUUCCAAGAUGACCAAUCCUUAGGAAUUGUAACCCUCUCCCAGGACAUGCUUUCAAAUACUGAAUUAUUCUCACCACGGCAUUCAUAUGGUUUUCAUUGGGAGCAUGCAUGAAUUGACUUACGAUACUUAGCGCAUAUGCAAUGUCUGGACGCGUAUGCAAUAAGUAUAUCAACUUCCCCAAUAAUCUUUGGUAUCUCUCCUUAUUUGUUGGUACUUGAUCGGGAUACUCUCAAAGUUUAUGAUUCAGCACGAUUGGGGUAUCCACUGGCUUACGGUCUAGCAUCCCUAUUUCUACCAACAAAUCCAAUAUGUAUUUCCUUUGAGAUAGGAAUAUUCCCCAUUUUGACCUUGCUACCUCUAUCCCCCAUAAAUACCUCGGUUCUCCUAGAUUUUUCAUCCCGAACUCUCCAAAAAGCCUCCUUUGGAGUAAGGUGAUUUGUUCCACAUCAUCCCCUAUAAUGAUCAUAUCGUCAACAUAGAUGAUCAAUGUAAUUAUCUUCCCUUCUCCUCAUCAAAGAAACAAGGUGUGAUCCGACUCACUUUGCUUGUUCCCACACUUCAUCAUUACCUCACUAAAUCGACCGAAUCAACCUCUUGGUGAUUGCUUCAAACCAUACAAUGACCUCUUCAAUAUGCAUACCACACCUGGAUGUGAGGGAGACUUGUAUCUUGGUGGUACAUCUAUAUAAAUCUCCUCCUCCAAGUCACCAUGGAGGAAGGCAUUCUUCACAUCAAACUAAUGAAGUGGCUAGUCUAAAUUAGCUGCAAGAGACACCAAAACUCAAACAGUGUUAAGUUUUGCAGUAGGAGAAAAAGUCUCUUGGUAGUCAAUUCCAUACAUCUAUGUGUACCUCUUUGCUACCAGUCUCGCUUUGUAUCUUUUGAUGGAUUUAUCCACCCUAUACUUGACAGAAAAAAUACAUUCGCAUCACAUUGUUUUAUUUUCCUUAGGCAAGUCCACUAAUGUUCACAUUCUAUUCUUCCACAAUACUUCAUAUCUUUUUCCAUAGCCUGAACCCACUGCGGAUCCUCCAAAGCUUCCUACACUCCAUUCGGAAUGUGAACCGAAGAUACAACCAAUGCAAACUCCUUCAAUGGUUCAAAUAACCUUCCUAGUGAGACAUAAUUUGUGAUGGAAUAUUUUGAUCUCCUUUCUUCGGCAUCUAGUGAGUAUCGAUUUGGGGGCUUUUUCCAAUUGUGCCUACCAGGUAAUUUAUAUUCCACAGACAUAUUGGAUCCAUCAAGCAAGUCAAAGGCAAUAGGGGAGAUUACCUCAAGAAAAUCCUCAUGAACUUGGUUGGGUACUAGAAGGGAAAAAGGUUGUGCAACUUGUUUAUGUGUGGGUAUUUCGGCCCUGUCGGAUCCUGCAAGGCUUCCGUAGCUACACCUGUCGCAAAUUCACCAGCACCAACACCAUCUGUCACCUACCCAAUAGCUCCACCAUCAAUACCAACCGCGCUAGCGCUACCCUUGUCACCCAUAGUAGCUCCAGCACCAGUCGGAGCCUGCCUCACUCCACCAUCACCAAUAGUCGGAGCUUGCCAACCCCACCAUUACCAAUGUUGUGGCUGUCAUCGACACUAUCAUCAUCCCCCAACAACCACGUCCCUUCCUCCAAGUAUAACCCUAGCAACAAUCUCCCACCAAUUCUUCCUUUCUAACCAAUUCUCCCCCCGAAAGGUAGAAUUGGUACUCAGGAAAAAAAAUUCUCCUUUGACAAAUGUGACAUCCAUAGUCACAUAGGUUUUCUUCGUAGAUGGGUUGUAGCCUCGAUAGCCUUCUUGAUGAGUAUCAUACCCAAGAACAUACACUAUAAGGCACACGGAUCAAGUUUGGUACGUCAGUUCUUCGGGAUGUGAACAAAUGCAACACAUCCGAACACACGUGGAGGAAUUGUCAAGACUGAUGGCAAUGGAACAAAUGUAGAGAGAGCCUGUAGAGACAUAUGGAAAUCUAGCACUUUUGAGGGCAUUUGGUUGAGGAAAUGCACCAUUGUAACAUCGGCAUUAUCCCAAACAACGUGGAGGAACAUGUCCUUCAAUUAAGAGGGCUUGAGCGGUCUCGAGGAUAUGGCAAUUCUUCCUUUCAGCCACUUCAUUCUAUUGUGGAGUCUAUGUACAUGAAGUCUCAUGAAUGAGACCAUGCUGCUAGAAGUACUUCAUAAGAUAUCGAUUCACAUACUUUCUACUAUUAUCACUCCAAAGAACUUGCAGUUUAGCAUCAAACUGUGUUUGAACCAUCUUGUGAAACACUUUAAACACAUUAGCCACUUCAUCCUUAGUUUUCAUCAAGUAAAGCCAAGUCAUAUGUGUGCAAUCAUCAACAAAGAUAACAAGCCUCUGACAGUCUAAGAUAGUAGUAAUAGGAGACGUGCCCCAAACAUCAAAGUGAACUAACGAAAAAGGCACAUUAUUCUUAUUCAAACUUAUGGGAAAGGAAACACGGUGGCUUGUAACCAAAAUGCAAGUCUAGCAAUAGAAAUCCAACUCUUUUAGAUCCAAAGAUAACUCAGGAAACAACUUUUUCAUAUAGUCAAAUGAAGGAUGUCCCAGUCGUCAAUGCCAAAGCCAAAUUUGUUUUUCUUUAUUACUAGGUGAACCCCGGACCUAAUGCACACUUCUAGACUUGAAAUCAUCUAGAUAGUAUAGCCCCCCCCCCCCUUUUAGUACCAUGUCCAAUGAUCUCCUUCGUGAGGAUAUCCUGGAAAAGAUAGAAUUGAUGAUACAUUAGAACAAUACAAUUCAUAUCUUCGGUAAGCUAUCCAACAGAAAUCAAUAUUGUGGUCAAUGAUGGGACAAGUAAGGUGUUGGGCAACGACAACUGAGGGGAAUUCGCAACCACACUAGCCCCUGUCACUGGGUAUGUAUACCCAUUCGCAUUUGAGAUACUACAUCGUAUGGGCUCUAUAAUACUCACAAAAUCAUAUGGGUUAAAGGUCAUAUGCUCCAUAGCCCCUGAAUCAAUAACCCAUCCAUCACAAUUGUUGUGAUUAGGGAGAACCAGUGCACAACCACAAUUACCUUGGAUAUCACCUUAACUGAACGUAGUCGAUUGGUCUUGAGUUUCAACCUUGGGCACCAAAGACAAUUGAGGUUCCAUCUUAGCAAGGGAAGCCUUCACUUUUCCACUAUUAGUACCCUCGUCGGCUUGUUUUCGUGUCUUCAAUUCCUUUCACCACUCUGGAUAGCCAUGGAGUUUAAAGCAUGUCUCUUGACUAUGCUAGGCAUUCCCACAAUGUGAGCAUCCUCUGGAUGGAGCUGUAGUUUGCAGACCAUUAUUCGUCUACCCUCCCCUUUGUGUAGCUCUUGAUUUAUUCAUUUGUAGGGUUAGCACUACUGGGGAUUCUCAGACACCUAUCUUGCUUCCCCGUGCAACCAUGGCAGUAGACCCAUGCGUGGAAUCAGUAUGAGUAAGCAUCAUUGACUAUCUCUUGUCUUCCCUACGAACCCGAGCAUAUGCUUGUUCAACUGUUGGGAAUGGCUACAUCUGGAGAACAUCCGCUCUCACUUUGUCUAGACGAUCGCCCAACCCAUCAAGGAAGAUAUACAUCCUUUCUUCUUGAAUGGCAAGAUUGUACUACUCAAUAUCAGCUGACAUGUCAUUGAGUUUGGACAACGAAGAGGCAUCACUUCCAUCAAAGAAUGUUGUUACAACAAAGUCCUAUACCAUCUUCGCAGUUAGGAAGUGAAUAAAAUUGCCUAUCACACAGGAUCCAUCAAUUUGAUUAGCCACCCCUUCACAAUCCCAUCAUCAAUCUUCCACUUUCGAAAUUGAGGAUCGGUAGGUGAGGACUGAGAAGAUCGCCAUUAAUAAAACCCAACUUGUCUUUACCAAAGAUGAACAUCUCCACCACUUGGGACCAUAAUCCAUAAUUGGAUCCAUCCAAUUUGACUAAGAUUUGUGCAGUGGAUGGCUCAUAGGAUUGUGUUGAUGCCUUAGUCGAAUUCUGGGUCAAAAUCUGCAUCAACUUCAUCGUGAGAUUCUCCAGGAGAGAGGUAGUGGUUGAGUUCUCCCCUUGAUCUUGAUGAGGUACCACAUCUUUUAGAUCUAUCAUGGUUGCCAAUCACAAUUGUUUCGCAACCGAGAAGAAAUUCUUGGUCGGGUCAAAUCAACACGACAACAGCACGAGUCGGUGCUACGGCGGUGAUCUAGUCUAGUUGGUGUAACGACAACACGGUUUAAAGUUGCAACGGCAAUCUAAUAUGGUCGGUGCGGCAGCAGCACAAAAACCAAUGCUACAAGUGAUCUAAUCCUAGUUGAAACGGUGUGAAGGAAAUUAGGGUUCUCACUUUGAUACCAUGUUGAAAAGCAUAUUGCUAUCUGGUUUGUUUACAUGGCUAUAUAUAUAUAUAUAUAUAUAUAUAUAUAUAUAUAUAUAUACAAGUACUGCCGGGGUAACAAUUGCCUAUUAGGCUAAAUAUAGGCUAAAUAUUAACUUUCUAUACAUAUCACUCCUACAAAUCAACUCACGCCAACAAUAUAUAUGCUCAUAAAAUUACUUACUAAAUGGCUGUGAACCUAUCUAAUUCGACAUGACAAAAAGUCCGUUCAAAAAAUCGGACGGAUGCAGAUCGUGAUAAAUUGAUUUUCGUUAUUUUCUCCGUUCUUUGUUGGAGGAAAUUUUGAGCCGUGGGUGGAACUUGGAAUCAGAUGAGUCGUAGUUUAUAGAGCGGCUUGUCCAGAUUGCCUAACUUCCGGUUGGCUUGGAUCAACUCAUUGGUCAGCAGUGUUCAUAGUUAAAUGUCCCUUAGGUCAAAAUUGGGUCGAGACAUUAUUCGUUAGAGAGUGUGGGACCAGGAAAGCAAAGGGACGGAGAGUCCGACAAAUGAGUAAAGCCAACCAAGGUUGAAAAUUUCUCCAAUUUUCAGAUGAGAAAUACUAUGUAGAUUUGCUCUUACAAUGCACAUGAUUUUGUUUAAAAUGAUUCCUUUGCUGCAUAGAUGAAGAUAUAAUAUCGAAAAUCUUCAAUACCAAUAGGGGUGUCAAAGCACACGACCCUUAUGAUUCAGGUCAGGUCGGUUAACAUCAAAGCCGACCUAGUUCGUUCCAUUAACACCCCUAGGUACCACAGCACCAUCAUUCACAAGCCUCGAUGCAGCAAUCUAUCACACUACCACCGUGUCGAUUCAAAACAUUGCUAUUGAAUUAUUUAUCCAACUAGUUGAAUCAACUCAUAUGCGUUAACUUGCAGUUGAUUGACACUAUUGCGAUGCUUUCAAAUAUUGCAACAAGGAACCUACUAUCAAUGACGUAGAACAUAGCCCCAGACGUGUGCGUAUUUCGAUAAAUCAUGUUGGGAGCGUACUAUCAAAACCUGAUUGUUUCACCUGGUGAGAUCAUUGAGAAGAAACUCAAGUUCAGAUCCAUCAACGUAUCCAAUUAAACCCAUUUUUACUCAAAUUGAAGUUACCAUCGCGACAGAAUUGAUUGAUUCCACUCCACCCGAGUUGGACAUUUCUUUACAUAUGAGCGGUUUUCAAGAAGAUACAUCAAUCAGCUGUUUUUAGGUAAAGGGCAUCUGACAAAUCCGAGGUGGCUGAACAAAACCCAUCCAUUAUUUGUCGGCCUCUAUCCUACUCCUCAAGCAUGCAGCCACCCACUUGGGGUCCGCCAAUGCGGACACGGACAUGGUCAGUACGUCAAACCUCACGUGUGUAUCGUUUAAAUGACAUUAGCAGGGCUUCUCGCCUGCCGAUCAGAAAAAGAAAAUGAAACUGCAAUUGGGUCGGGUUGUGAUAAGUCAAAGAACUCCAGCUCUCCUGCUUUUUGUCUGUUUGCACCACGAGCUGGCGGAACCAUUACAUAAGACAGCAGUUACAGUACACACCGUCGGCCUUAAAGGAACUUCUACAAGCUUGUCGAUCAAUGGUUUUAUGGUUAGUAAGAGAGCAAAUGGUUAAAACCCUUGUGAUUAGCUGUCCGCAGCAUUAUUGAUCGCAGAACGCGUCUGUAAAUUUUUAUAUCUGAUCAUGGUGUGCGCGGGUGUUAGCGUUGUGGUUGAACCCGCACAAUCCGGUCAUCGAAGCUUCCAUUGUAAACAUAUCAUGGCGUAUUAGAGAAAUCUCUCUCUCUCUCUCUCUCUCUCUCUCUCUCUCUCUGUGAUCCACUACCAAACUAGCCUUCGUCUCUGGCUAAUAAUAAAAAAAGAUUACCUUUCGUCUAGAAGUGAGACUUUCAACCGACGCGUUUGGCGACGAGAACAACAUCAUUUCCUAGGAAAGAGCCCUCCCUGAUCAUUCUCGCCCAUUUGGUACCAAAUCCUAUAUAAACACCGCCCGCUCAUUUCAGUCUUCGCAACUUCUCCAAUCUCCAAAGUCAUUCCAUAUUCGUCAGCAAAACACCGAAUUGAGAUCACACACCAAGGAAGAAAAAGAAAAGUUCCAUCUGUCCAAGAGAGAGAAGAAAUCGGCAAUGUCGAAGGACAACGAAUCGCUGCACUACAUGGACGAGGAGGCGAAGCGCAAGAAGAGGAUGAAGUGGACGAUCGGCAUCAUCGCCUUCGUCAUCCUACAGGUAGUCCAAGCUCUCUUCUUCGUCCUGGUCAUCAUGAAGUUCAAGUCCCCCAAGUUCAGGGUCGGUGAGUUCGACAUCCAAACCUUGAAUGUCGGGACUCAGGCCUCGCCCUCGUUCGAUAUGAGCUUUGUCGCUCCGAUCCGGGUCAAGAACACCAACUGGGGUCCUUUCAAGUAUGAUGCUUCUACUGUUAGCUUCACCUAUGGCGGUGCCCAAGUGGGACAAGCGAUCAUUCCCAAGAGCAAGGCCAACUUCAAGUCCACCAAAAAGAUUGACGUGCAUGUGACCUUGAGCUCUUCGAAUUUGCCAAGCGCUUCGAAUCUUGGGAACGAGUUGAGUUCGGGGAUCAUAACAUUGAACAGCCAAGGUGAACUCAAAGGGAAAGUAACGGUCAUGUUCAUGUUCAAAAAAACAAAAAUCUCCCAAAUGAAUUGCACCAUAGCCAUCAAUACAGCAACCAAGGUGGUCCAAUCCUUGACAUGUAAAUAAGAAUGCAAGAGUGUUUGAUUCUCCAUUAGAUGGCUUGUGCUUUGUCACAGACAUUUUGCGGUUUCGAUAAGAUUUGUAAUUCUACCUUUUCUCUCGUCACUCGUUAUCACCUUGCUUCUGUUGGAAUAUCACAUUUGUUGUUGAAUUGAGGAUUUGAGCCUCUUAUUUUCUUUUGCUUCUUAGUUUCCCGAACUCUUUGUUCCCUUUCCUAUAAAAUGAGGAAGGGGACCCACCAAGCCACCUUCCAUUAAUACUAUGACACCGAGCUCUUAUCAUCAUAAGUAGUUGUCACACGAGUCAAAAGAUGUAAACAUCAACAAAUUAACUUUGCCAGUUCUUUCCUGCUUGUGAUACUAGUCCUUCUAACUUUUUCUAGUUAAUUACUAGAUGUAUAAAUGCUUAAUUACCUAUUUCAUAGUAAAAGUUAAUGGCUAUAUGUUAUGAAGGUUUUUUUUUUUUAUCGAUCAUACUCCAUUCAUAUUCUAACUCUCACUCUCAGACUUUUGCCCUACUUCCUUGCAAUGCGUGAGAGUCGAAACCUACAUUUGAAACUAAUUCGUCCAUAUCCUAACCUCCCUUGAAAAUGUGAGAAUUCGAACCCCCACCUCCCCCUUCCAUGUUAGAAGGGUAUCCCAGUGGUUGACUAUAUGUUAUGAAGUUGAAAAGCACUUCUCCCCGCGAAAAUUUUAUAACCAAUUUACCCAUGUUUAGUAACUCCUCAGGGUGUUCGGAACCUUUUCAUAUAAAGAAAAGCAAGUAUCAAUAUAUCAGGCAAUUUUCGUUAGUCUUUUUCACGAUGGUUAGUAAGCAUUUCAUCCUUUGGAAAACUAAGUCUCCAUCAAUCAUUGGUAAUUUAGUUGUCUAGAUUAGUUAUUUUCAUACAAAAUAACAUCUAGCCUAUCACUCAUAAGUAACUCACUGACGUGAUUAGUAGCAUUAAAAAGUAAGCAUAUGCCCAUCAACGCUAAUAGUAAUUGUGUUACAUGAUUUUUAAGUCGUCGUAGUAGAAGAUAAGUUUGAACUCUAUCGACAAUUAGUAGCUUCUCGACAUGAUAUGAUGCAAGAGCAAGUGUGGAGAAGUAGGAGGUAACAUAAAUGAACUUAAAAGAAAUAGGUCACUCGCCACCCAUAUAUAAUUUACCUAAGAAAUAAGAGCAAAACAAAAAAUCUUUUUUAUACUCAAGCCAAAGGCUCAAAAUAAUUUACUAAACAAACGAGCUUUGCCUUUUCAUUCAUCAUAGCAUACUUAUAUAAAUGAGCAUGGAACAACCCUCAAAAUAUGAGUAAUUGCGAAAACUCAUUGGAAAAACAAAAAUACUGAUAGGAAACACAAACUAGUUUUACUAUAAAAUAGCCACAACCAAAUAAGGACUCUAGAAAUUUAAACAACAUUUACUAAAUCCUAAAGAUAUGAUAAAUAAAUAUAGUUGGUUAUAGGCCUCCAACUUUUACGAGUUACAAAUUAGCUGAAUGAAUGGCCUUCAAGAAAUGCUCCGGAAUCAAGAUGAGUGAUUUUUGUCAUGGUAACUCAAAAUUAAGUAAUGAUAUAUAUAUAUAUGCCAAAAAAUUACCAACAAAAAACAUUUCCAAAUAUAUUGAUUGAUAAAGUAAAUUAAUAAAGGUUGCGAAAGGUCCUUUGUUGAUUUUGAACAUGAAAGUAAAUGACAACAAAUUUAAAGGUCACCAAACUGAAGGUAAUCACAAACAAUCACGUAAAUUGAAGUGCCGCUAGGUCAAAUGGCUUACCUUCAGAUUCACUUCGGAUCAACUCAUCAGUCAUCGAAGUGCCUUGUUAAUGUCUCUUUGGGUCAAAAUUGGGUCGAGGCAUUGUUUGUUAGAUUCAAAGAGUUCGGCACUAGGAAAGCAAAAAGCUAGGGAGUUUGGAGAGAGACAUAAGCAAGCAAAGCAAAGCAAAAGUCCAAUUUUUCCCAACUUAAGAUAUGAACAAAAUUAAGAGACCUUGUUAAGUUUUGAGCUUCAGAUUCACUUCGGAUCAACUCAUCAGUCAUCGAAGUGCCUUGUUAAUGUCUCUUUGGGUCAAAAUUGGGUCGAGGCAUUGUUUGUUAGAUUCAAAGAGUUCGGUACUAGGAAAGCAAAAAGCUAGGGAGUUUGGAGAGAGACAUAAGCAAGCAAAGCAAAGCAAAAGUCCAAUUUUUCCCAACGAGCUUCAGAUUCACUUCGGAUCAACUCAUCAGUCAUCGAAGUGCCUUGUUAAUGUCUCUUUGGGUCAAAAUUGGGUCGAGGCAUUGUUUGUUAGAUUCAAAGAGUUCGGCACUAGGAAAGCAAAAAGCUAGGGAGUUUGGAGAGAGACAUAAGCAAGCAAAGCAAAGCAAAAGUCCAAUUUUUCCCAACUUAACAUAUGAACAAAAUUAAGAGACCUUGUUAAGUUUUGACUCUCUCUCUCUCUCUCUCUCUCUCUCUCUCAUACUGUAACCUCUUCCCGGCUCUACCAUAGGAGUUGAUUAUAAUUUUUUUUUCAAAAUGAUUUAGUCAAAUUACUUGGUUUUGGAUCAAGGCUAUCUGACCAUCUGACAAUAUUGAAGUGGCUAAACAAACCCUAUGUCAUCCUCUAGCACGUCAUGAGUAGCUUGAUCACAUUGCCAUGGGAGGUUAAUCAUCGUGCCCUUACCAGCUAAAAAUACGGUCUUGUCACGAGGUUUUACAUUUGGACGGUGCAAUGGAAGAAUCCAAACCCUCAUGUUUGGGGCUAAGACUAAGGUUAACAACUAUAUCAACCAAUUAAAUAAUGCAAAUUAUUAUAACAUAAGUCACGCGGACAUGGCCAGUAUUGGCAGACCUCAACUAAGUCUUAUUUAACCUUAGAUCAACGAAGAUUGCCUUUUAAUAUUCAAUGAAAAGACCUAGCUAACUGUUCCAUUUGCAACGGUGACGAGACCUCCACUGUGCAAACAUCCUAAACUCGUGAAAAAGUCAAUAAACUCAAGCUCUCUCCACCCGCUUUUGUCCGUUUGUACCUCCAGAGGUUUGUCUUGGCGUUUUGGCUGAGACCGUGAAACGAUCGAAGCUUCUGAUUUUCGGCAAUUUGUAUUCAAUUUUAUAUUGGAGAAAAGAAAAUCGGCGUGUAAAAUCGCGUUCGUCUAGAAAGUUAGAAUUUCAGCCUUAAAUGGUCUUUGGCGUGUGGGAGUCGGAUACCGUGACGUGUUCCCGGAAGGAGCCUUUGGUCAUAACAAGUCGCCUUUGGCGCGCCCCAGAAUCCAUAUAAAUGCCCACCUCCUCAAUUCAUUCCUCACAGCUUCUCCAAAUCUCCAAAUUCGUUAAGAAAACACCCAAUUGAGAUCACCCGACAAGGAAGAAGGCAGAAAACUUCCCUUCUGUUAGAAGAGAGAAGAAAUCCCGUGAUGUCGAAGGACAACGAAUCACUGCACUACAUGAACGAGGAGGCGAAGCGCAAGAAGAGGAUGAAGUGGACGAUCGGCAUCAUCGCUUUCGUCAUCUUUCAGGUACUCGUAGCCGUCUUCUUCGUCCUAGUCAUCAUGAAGUUCAAGUCCCCUAAGUUCAGGGUCGGUGAGUUCAACGUCCAAACCUUGAACGUCGGGAAUCAGGCCUCACCCUCGUUCAACAUGAGCUUCGUCGCUCCGAUCCGGGUCAAGAACACCAACUGGGGUCCCUUCAAGUACGAUGCUUCUACUGUUAGCUUCACCUAUGGGGGCGUCCAAGUGGGACAAGCGACCAUUCCCAAGAGCAAGGCCAACUUCAAGUCCACCAAGAAGAUCGAUGUGUCCGUGACCUUGAACUCCGAUGCUUUGCCUACUAGUUCGAACCUUGGGAGCGAAUUGAGCUCGGGGAUCAUAACCUUGAAUAGCCAAGGCGAGCUCAAAGGAAAGGUUACAGUC
rnacentral:lncRNA from 1 species